rnacentral:lncRNA from 1 species
GGAGAUCACAAGGCAAGCUAAGGGUCCGUUACAUGCUAUAUUUGUCCCCAUCGGUGGUGGUGGUUUGAUAGCUGGUAUUGCUUCUUACGUGAAGAGAGUUUGUCCAGAGGUACAGUGUGCAAGUCUUUUGUACUCUUGUUGCUUUGGUGUUGUCACCUUAUUGUGGCUUUAUUGUGGGGUUAUGCAGGUGAAGAUCAUUGGUGUGGAGCCAGCAGAUGCAAACACAAUGGCGUUGUCGCUGCAUCACGGCGAGAGAGUGAUACUAGACCAGGUUGGGGGUUUUGCAGAUGGUGUAGCAGUCAAAGUAGUUGGGGAAGAGACUUUUCGUAUAUCCAGAAAGCUGGUGGAUGGUGUUGUACUCGUCACUCGUGAUGCUAUCUGUGCAUCGAUAAAGGUAACAACGCUUGUGAUACGGUUUGUAGCAAUUGCACAAGCAAUGAUCAUAUACUUUUAUCUCUCUACAGGAUAUGUUUGAGGAGCAACGGAACAUUUUGGAACCAGCAGGUGCGCUUGCGAUCGCUGGAGCUGAAGCGUACUGUAAAUAUUAUGGGCUAAAGGACGUGAAUGUUGUGGCCAUAACCAGUGGUGCAAACAUGAACUUCGACAAGCUGAGGAUUGUGACGGAGCUGGCUAAUGUCGGUAGACAACAGGAGGCUGUUCUUGCUACUAUCUUGCCGGAAAAGCCUGGAAGCUUUAAGAAAUUCUGUGAACUGGUGCGUGUGUUUGGUAUUAGAGCAUGUAGCAGUUAAUCCUGUUAAUGUAAUACGUUUGAUCGAUGCAGGUUGGGGCAAUGAACAUAACCGAGUUCAAGUAUAGAUGUGGGUCUGAAAAGGAAUCUGUUGUACUAUACAGGCAAGUCUGUUCCUGAAGAAAUAUUCUGUAUUCGUUGUUAUUCGUCUUCUAAUCCGGACAGUGUUGUGUAUUGUUGCUUAGUGUUGGAGUGCACACACCAGGAGAGCUCAAAGCACUAGAGAAGAGAAUGGAAUCUUCUCAGCUCAGAACUAGGAACCUUACAAGCAGUGACUUAGUUAAAGAUCACCUGCGUUACUUGGUGCGUCCCUUAAGUUGAUAACUCCCGUUGAUUGAUGCAAGUUUGGUUAUGUGAAUCACACUUUGUAUAUUUCCAGAUGGGUGGAAGAUCAAGUGUUGAAGAAGAGGUUCUAUGCCAAUUCACCUUCCCAGAGAGACCAGGUGCUCUGAUGAACUUCUUGGACUCUUUCAGUCCUCGUUGGAACAUUAGCCUUUUCCAUUACCGUGCAGAGGUUUGUAUCUGAGUUCACCAUUACACCACAAGAAAGCUUUGUUGUAACUUCAAUGGUUCCUUCUUUCAAAACAGGGUGGGGCAGGUGCAAAUGUGCUGGUCGGGAUCCAAGUGCCGGAACAAGAAAUGGAGGAGUUCAGAAACCGAGCUCAAGUUCUUGGAUACGAGUACGUCUUGGUAAGUGAAGACACAGUUUUCAAGCUUCUAAUGCACUGAGUUUAAAGCUGUGAUGGAGAGACCAAAUCUGAGGAAGUAGUAGAAGCCAUGGGAGUCUUCCUUGUGUCCAUGGUUGUUCUUGAGCUCUCUGUUAGAACAAAACCUGUGAGUCUCGGGUCUUUUAGAUGGGCUUUUAUGUCACGGGCCUAUUACGCUAGCCCAAUAUGUAACCUUUAUUGCCUACGAGCUCUCAACUAUGCUGUAGUCUGUAGACUUUGGAUACCUUUCAGCAAAUAAUGUGAGGGCUAAGAGCAUGCGCAUCAGGAGUUCAAGGGGAGGGGAUCACACGUUUUCCAAAAAAUAAUAAUAUCAAAAUAAGCAUAAAUGAAGACUUUGGCUCGUCCAGCUUUUUCCGCAUGAACUCGAACUCGAGUCGUGACUGUUCAGCGGGCCCCACGCCACGUGGUAGCUUGUUAUUGGUCACUUUAUUUAAUUAUUUUUUUUAAAUCAAACAAAAAAAAAAUUAAAAAAUUAAUUUCUUGAACUUCAACGAACGGUUCGCCGCUGCGCAUGCUCUAACCUUCCAAUAAAUUUGAUAUAACAAGUAAUUCUGUUGUAGAUUUGUAUGCAAAUAUAUACUCCCUCCGUUUCAAUAUAGAUGAUGUUUUAGAAGGUUUGUUUUGUUUUGUUUCAAUUUACAUGAAGUUUUGAGAUUUUAAGGAAGUUUUGAGAUUUUAAGGUUAACUUUAACUUUAUUGGAAACUGUUCAACCAAUUACAUUUUACAGUCUUUUUUAUAAUUGGUUAACGGAUUUUAAAAUUAUAUCUUUAAAAUAUUUUUCUAGAGAAAUGUAAUUUUCUUAAACUUUGUGCACUACUACAAAACAUCAAGUAUUAUGAAACAGAGGGAGUAUCAUAUUAUUCAAAUCACUCAGGAUGAGAGGAUGCCUAGGGGGGGGAUCUGGGCACAACCGGUUAAAACAUUGGUCUUGGCCCCAAAAAAAUUGGAGGCUUUUUACGUGGGCAAAAAAGCCCCAACUCAUGAAAAAAUAAUUCUUAAAAAAAUGUUUCAAACCCCGUGAUGAUCUGGUCCUAAAUUGAUCAAAUUUUCGACAUAUCAGCAAAUUAUUAUUCUUUUAAAUAGAGCCAAAACGUAUAUAAAUGAUUAACUGUAGAAGUUACAUCAAAAUUAUUACUGUCUACUGCUGUAAAAAAGAACGAAUUUUAUCACUGAAAUAAAUGAAAAGAGUCAAAAAGAAAGAAAAACCUUCACACCCGGUGGGACUCGAACCCACAAUCGUUUGAUUAGAAGUCAAACGCCUUAUCCAUUAGGCCACGGGUGCAUCUGUUGUGAACAUAUUUAUUAAAGUAGAUAACGUUUAUGUUAAAUAUAAGAAAUUGGUUCAUUAUCUGGUUAUGAUUCAACUACUUUGUAAUAUCUAUGUUAACGCUCGAACUUUAUAUCUCAAAUCCGAAUAUUCUUUUUAUUCCCGACGCAAAGAACAUACCAUGUUAGUGGAUACAUUACAAACAUGAUAAAGAAAACAUAACAUAGAUAAGAGAGAUAUUACAAAGUAGUUCAUAAUCUGCUGAUUCCGAGGGGAACCGAAGCUUGCCAAAGGAUAGAAGUUGCUCAAUUUCUAGAUGGAGAUAAAGAAAACUUGCUAUCUCUCCAUCAUCAGCCUUCUGCAGUCUUCAUUGCUCCAUAUCUUAAAACACUUUCCUUACAAGAACACAAAAUCACUUUAACUAGACAUUAAUUAGUAAUCUCCUUUUUUUUGGCCAUCCCUGAAGAUAUAAACCUCUAAGAUAAAUCAGAGGUUUUUCUCUUCUUCACCUUAGGGGAUGGCCAUUCUCUUUUGAUUUGCGGUGUUCUGCCAAAUUAAGAGAAGGUUUCAAUAAUGGAGGCUUGCUAGGGGUUUUUAUAGAUUUUUAUUUAUUUUUCUUUGAUUUGUGCUACUUUUUUGUUUGUCUAUGGUCAUGAAGACAUUUAAAAAGAUACACCGAAAAACCGUCUUAGUGUUCUUUCCACUUUUUCUCAUUACUUUUUCAUAUUUUUUCUAAGAAAACAGGUUAUUAAAACAAUGAAUCAAUAUAUAUCAUGUUUAUUAAUGUUCUUUAUAAAGGAUAUUCCUUUUGUAUCAUAGAUGGAUGCAUAUGUUAUUUUGGUACAUAUACACGUAUUUAUUUUGUAGUUAUUAUAUAUCUCAUGCUGAAUAACAAAAUACACAAUAACACAUAAGGGGAAUAAUCGUGUAGUGUAAAGAGAGUAUUGGGAAUGUUUUUUAAAAAACUUCUAUACAUAUAUAUUAGUUGAAGUGGAAGCAGAUGAUGCUGGAAUCAAGGGGAGUCUUACGUGAAUAUGCUUGGAAUUUUGGAUCAUCCUAUUGAAUAUGCCAUUCACCUAGAUUGCCUUUUUCAGUAGUAUAUACACUCAUGAUUCAUAUGAUGACAUCUGCAAAAUUCAGGUUUAUAACUAGUCUACUAUACACUUAAUCAGGUAUGUAAACUACCCGAGAUGUCAGGAAUGUAGAAUUUCUUUUCAGAAUAUGAUUAUUCGUCGAGAUACAAAUAUUAUAGUUAUAUAGUUUAAAUCUUCUAACAAAGUUUUAAUCAAUUAACUUGUUAAAUAUAUUUUCUUCAAAUAUUUCAAAGAACUUAACUUAAUUCACUAUAAUGUAUAUAUAUUUCUUAAAAUUCACUAUUAAUAUUUGGAAAAGUCAAAAACUUAGUAUAUGCAAUAUUUCAAAUAUAUAUUUUGUCAAUUUUCGAUACAAUAAAAUCAGGUAGAAGCCGAUAGAAAAGGUUUCCUGAAAACCACAUCUAUUUUAACCCGGUUUGAUCUGCAUAAAAAAAUAAAGUUAUAAUUAUUUUCAAACAAGUUUAUUUUAAUGAUUUGGUAUCAUUUUACCUGCUAGGACUACGAGUCCUUUCUUUGAGACAUUCAUUCUACUGCACCAUAAUAGCAGGUAGUAUAAUUUAAUUUUCUUGAAUAGUACACUAGUAUAUGAAAUCGACCUUCCGUGGUUUCCUGAUAAAGAACCAGUAUUAAUGCAAGAUAUUAAAUCUAUAUAUCAACAGAACAAUUAUCAAAGUCAAAUACUAUAUACAAUUUCUAAACAGAUAGAUAGCAUUGAUAAUAAAAUAAAUAUUAAUAAAAAAGGAAAAGUGGACCAACACACUCAACACCCUUUCUCAUCAACGACCUACCCAAUCUUUAAACCAACAACAAGACAAAUCAAAUUUCCUGAAAAUGAAAUUUUAAAAUCAAUUUCGACCAGAUUAGACAGGUUAGAUAAAGGAAAAGGAAUAAACACUAUAGAUGAAGAUGACAAUGAAUCUAUCCAAACCUCCUCACAAUCAGAAAACGAUAUACAAGAAAUAAAUCGAAUAAAAAAUAAAUCAAGAAAACCAUAUUAUCCUAGGCAUACUCCACCUGAUUUAUUAUUUGAAGAACAUCACAAAUAUACUAGUAAAGAAUACUCUGGAGAAAGUAUAUACGAAUGGAAUUCAGCCUCUGGUAUAAACUAUUCUUGGACUCUCUCUCUCUCAAACUCUCUCUGCAGAAACCUUCGCCGUAAGCCUCGUUCUUCUCCGGUAGCGGCUCCGUGCCGCUGCCGGUGGCCCUCCUCCCUAAUCUCUCAUUUUCUCUUUGCCUCUCAAGCUCCUCAGCCCCUUUUUCGACAUGUCAAAACUCUAGAGAGCUGUUCCGUCAUCAGAGCUUCAACACGGGACGCCGGCGACGAUUCUGUUCGGUGGACGUGCUCUUCCGGAGUGGCGACGAGGCUAAGGUGGUUAGGAUGUGGCGAGGUCGGCUUUUACGGUGGCUAGAUCUGGGUCGAAUUUUUCACUUUUUCGAUCUGGUUUUCGCUGGAGUUUGUGGCGCGUGUGGUGCUUCGAUUAGGCUCUCCUGGCCUGGAUCUACUCGGAUCUGUGUCGGUGUGGGGUGGUGGUGUCGGCUCUUUAUCCUCCGCCUUGGUGUCUCGGUGUAGGAGGAGCUUUCUACUCCAUCCAGUCUGGACUUCGAUGGUGUUCUCUCUUCAAGGCGUGCGUGGGUUCAGCUUCUUCUGGCGGUGUCAUUUGAAGCUCUCCGGCGGCGCGUGUGGAGUCCCCGGCGAGGUGGCGCGUGGAGUUGUCUACGCUUUGGCGUCAUCUCUCCGGAUCUCUGCUUCGGUCUUGCCUAGUCUCGUCACGGCUCUGUUAUGUGGUCUCUUCAUCCUUCAAAAGUGCACAUUUUGGUGGAGAAGUCUUUGGGUUUAGUUCUCGAUGGUUAGUAGCCUCGAAAGCCACCGUUGGUUACAUUUCAAAGCUUUUAGAACCUUCCUCUUGUCCUAAGAGAUGGAGUGCGUGGGCAUUUGUUGUGGUCCGAGAGUCUCCGGAACCUCACUCUUGUCCGUGGCGGCGCGCUGGUUUGGCGUCUUUCCCAGUACCGAGUUUGGCUUUUCAGGCUUCGGUAGGAUGUCCUCCUUCUUUUUGCAGGUACCCCUUCCACAAGACAUAGUGGUCACAGCUCAACCGGCUUUUGCUCAAGAUGGGUGAACUCGCGAUGGUUUCAGGUAUGAAGCUCUCGGGUUAUGUUUAUCUGUCUAUGCGCUUAAAUGGAAGUUGAGAUUGCGAGUGUGAGGAGAUCGUCACGAACUAGCUACGUCGGUGAUGGCAUAAGAUGAACCGGCAACCUCGGAAACAAGGUGAACGCCACCCUCGAAUGCUUACCAUCACCGAUCGAGAACGGGGAUUGAUAGUCGAAUGUUGACGGAUCUAACUAGCGGAAUGCGUCGGUUUAGAGGUGGUUGAGCGAAGCUAGGGAUGAAACGUUUAGCACUAGACCAUUUUGUUCAAAUCAUGCUUGUAAUCGAUACUUAACCCCCGUUUUCGGGUAGAUAAAUAAUAUAAAUAUUAAAAAAAAAAAAAAAAAAAAAAAAAAAAAAAAAAAAAAAUAGAUGGACGAUCAGAAUAUGAAAUGCUAAAUUUAUUUCAAGAAAUGGUAAUGGCUACAAUGGCUUACAAAGGUAGAGGAAAUAAUGAUCAACAAUCAUGCAUUUUGUUAGUAUCUGGAUUUACUGGAGCAUUAAGAUAUUAGUGGGAUAACUCAUUAGACGCAAUUACACAAGAAUCUAUAAUUAAUCAUGUUGAAAUAAAACAACAAGAAGAUGAAGAAGGAUUUAUGAAUGAUAUAGAAGUACAAAACGCAGUAGAAGUAUUAAUACAUACUUUAACAAUGCAUUUUAUUGGAAAUCCUAAAGAAGAAUUAGAAAGUAAAAAAAUUAUAUUAACAAAUUUAAGGUGUCCAACAUUAGGAGAUUUUAAAUGGUACAAGGAUGUUUUUAUAACAAACAUAUUCCAAAGAAACGAUUGUAAUCAAGCAUUUUGGAAAGAACGGUUUAUCUCAGGAUUACCAUCUUUCUUUGCAGAAAGAGUAAUUAGUAAAUUAAAAAAGUAUUCAGGAGGACAACCAAUCCCUUGGAAUAUGAUUAUUUACGGACAAUUAUUUGCAUUUAUAAAGAAAGAAGGAUUAGCUAUAUGUCAAGAACAUAAAGAUAAAAAAUGAAAUGAUAAAUUUAAGUUUAAAAUAACUAUGGGAUCAUUCUGUGAUCAGUAUGGCUAUAAUCAACUUAACCCUCCAUCAAGAAUUAAACGACUAAAGCAUAGGCAUAAUAAAACUAAGUAUUUUCAUAAAAAUAAUAAAUUUAAUAAAAAAUCAACAAAUCAAUACUAUACAAAGAAUAAUAAGCACAAAUCAAAUAAUAAGCAGAAAAUAGUAUGUUGGAAUUGUAAAAGACCUGGAAUAUAAACUAUCAUGUGCAAAAAUAUGUAACCAAGGAUAUUGCUUCAAAAAUCAAUUUAUUCUAGUAAAAAACUUAACACAAGAAGUAAUAUUAGGAACUCCAUUUUUUACUCAAAUAUAUCCAUUCAAAGUAACAGAAAUAGGAGUAACCACAAAAGUAGUAGGAACAAAAUUAUCAUUUGAAUUCUUAUCUCCUAUGAAAACCAAAGAAAUACUAAGCUUACAACAAAAUUCUAUUCAAAAAACAAUUAAUUUAAUAAAAGGGAAACAAAAUCAUAUACAAUAUCUACAAAAUGAAAUAGCAUACAAAAAAAUAGAAGAACAACUUAAGAUGCCUUACAUAAUAAGCAAGAUAAAAGCUAUUGAAAAUGAUAUAUUAAACCAAAUCUGUUCAGAAUUGCCAAACGCUUUCUGGGAAAGAAAACAACAUACAGUUGAACUCCCAUAUAUAAAAGAGUUUAACGAAAGAAAUAUACCAACUAAAGCAAGACCUAUUCAAAUGAAUAAGGAAUUAUUAGAACACUGUAAAAAGGAAAUAAAUGAUUUAUUAGAUAAAAAAUUAAUCAGGUAAUCCAAAUCUCCCUGGAGCUGUUCGGCCUUUUAUGUAAAUAAUCAAGCUGAAAAAGAACGUGGGGUACCAAGAUUAGUAAUAAAUUAUAAACCAUUAAAUGAUGUAUUACAAUGGAUACGAUAUCCAAUACCUAACAAAAGAGAUUUAUUAAAACGACUUUAUAAUGCAAGAAUUUAUUCAAAAUUUGACAUGAAAAGUGGCUUUUGGCAAAUACAAAUUGCCGAAAAAGAUAAAUAUAAAACAGCAUUUACCGUACCAUUCGGACAUUAUGAAUGGAAUGUAAUGCCUUUUGGUCUUAAAAACGCACCUUCUGAAUUUCAACAUAUAAUGAAUGAUAUAUUCAAUAAUUAUUCAAAAUUUACAAUUGUCUACAUAGAUGACGUGUUAGUAUACUCCACUUCAAUAGACCAACACAUUAGUCACUUAAACACAUUCCUCAGUAUAGUUAAAAAACAUGGAUUAGUUAUAUCAGCCAAGAAAAUUUCUUUAUUCCAAACAAAAAUAAGAUUUUUAGGACAUAAUAUAUAUCAAGGAACAAUCACACCUAUUUCAAGAUCAAUUGAAUUCGCAGAUAAAUUUCCUGACGAGUUAAGAGAAAAGACCCAAUUACAAAGAUUUUUAGGAUGUCUAAACUAUGUUUCAGACUUCUUACCCAAUCUUAGGAAAACAAUUCAACCAUUAUUUCAACGGUUACAAAAGAAUCCAAAACCAUGGACUAAUCAACAUACCCUUUUAGUCAAACAAGUUAAGCAAAAGGUUAAAACUCUUCCAUGCCUUUCCAUACCAAAUCCUGAAGCUGACAUGAUAGUUGAAACUGAUGCUUCAGAAAUAGGUUAUGGAGGAAUUCUUAAGCAAAAAUUACCACAAUCAAAACAAGAAUCUAUAGUUCGAUUCCAUUCAGGAGUCUGGUUAGGACCACAAAAGCAUUAUUCAACAGUAAAGAAAGAAGUUCUCUCAAUUGUUAAUUGUAUCUCAAAAUUCCAAGAUGACUUAAUCAACAAAAGGUUUUUAUUAAGAGUAGAUUGCAAAUCAGCAAAAGAAAUAUUACAAAAAGAUGUCAAAAACCUAGUAUCAAAACAAAUAUUUGCUAGAUGGCAAGCAAUAUUAUCCGUUUUCGAUUUCGAUAUUCAAUAUAUUAAAGGAGAAAAAAAUUCUUUACCCGACUUUCUAACAAGAGAAUAUUUGCAGGGAAAAUCCACAGAUAAUCAACAACAACAAGAUAUUCAAAAUGAGUGACCAGAAGAUGAAAAAGCCGAUGACAGCAUCAGAUUAUAUCAAAAACCAACCACAUCUCCAAGGAAGGACUUUAACUCCAAACCCUUACUCAGCAUUAGCUGAAUAUCCUCCUCUAUCUUAUUCAAAAGCAGUCUCUGAAAAGUCAUCAAAGAUGGAAGCACAAUCAUCUACAGCAACCCCAAACACAACCUCAAACACUACUCCAAACACUAAACCAGUCUACUACACCAAACCUUAUAAGCAACACCUUAUGACGACCCCAUACACUAAACCAGUAAACCUUACCCAACUCAAAACCUUCAUCAAUCGAGUCUUCUACGAGGACAGUCCCUGGCCAACAGAUAACAUAACCAAAAACCAAUCCUUUUAUGAGUAUAUUCUAGUAGACUCUAAGUCUAUAGAAAUCACCCAUUACAAAGACAAGACGAACCCAAACCUCAUCAACUAUUCAACCUGCAAAUUCCUACGAAUUUGUUCUACCCAAGACCUUGGUUUUAUACAUCAUCAUACAACAAAACCUUUUUCUACCCCAGGCUAUCAUAUCGACGGCUACACCUAUACCGAUUACAAAAAUGCCUUUUUCCGAGCCUUUUUACUCAGACCCUAUGACCACUCUUGGUUCUUCAGUUUUGAUCAAAACUGCACAAAGACGAUACCGGGAUGGUUCAACGAAUGGUGGUACUGGUACGGACCAGCAGAUCCGAUCUACCCCGACCAAGUACUCAAGACCUCCUACCCAUUCUACAAGAAACACGUAUUUGAUCAACCAGUUGGGCCUCUAAACAAAAUCUGGUUUCAUAUUGACAUGGGCAUCCCAUGGAUAUGUUCAUGGCAUUUUACCCUCGCUAUCGCUCUCCAAGACAUGCCUUAUUCUCUCCUCCGGGAAUUCAGAGUCAAAUGGUGGGAAAAAUAUAACCUUGACAGAUGUUCCCUCGCAGGUAUCCAAAAAUAUUUCCAAAUUACAAAUCAAGCCAAAACAGCAAUCCAAACUAUAUCCAAAUCUAUACCUCUUCUCAACCCAACCCAAAUAUCCCAAACAAAUCCAAGUCCACAAAAAAGACCAACAUCAAGUCCAACAAGUUCAACAACCUCUUCCUCUUCCCAGAAAUCAUCAAGAAAAGAAAAAAUGAAGAAACUUAUCGCCGAAAUGCUGACGCAAUUUGAGGCGGAACAUGAUGAUACCGAUGAUGAAAACCAACAAGUUGACAUUAUGCAACCCGAAGAUACUUACGGCGGCCCGUUGGGACAGGAUCCGUAUGAUAUAUAUAUUAAAAAAAAAAAAGUAUGUCUAUAUUUACAAUUUCGGUUUUAAGUAUAUUCUAGUAGACUCUGUACAUUAUUUCUGUAUUUUCUUCUCUGUAUUUUAUUACUACUAUCUACAAAAUAAUAUACAGAGUAUAUCUGUAUAACAUGACUCGCGAAGAAGCUUUGCAAGAAUUUCGAGAAAGAAUUCAGCCGACAAUGGCGGGGCCCACAUGGGACCCACACGAAGACUUCUGCACAAAACAACAACAGUUUCUGACAGCAAUUGUCGGCACCACUCAAGACUCAACACGUAUUAAAUCAAGUGUCGGCACCACUAGAAGACGACACGUUGCAAGACUUUAUUCAAGCACUCUUUGCCUAUAAAUACGCAGUUAUGUUCAAGGAAGAAGGCACGAGCAAUUUUCACUCUCAAAAAAACCUUCACUCUCUAAAAGCUCUACCUUCUCUCUAAAUAUUUCCUGUGUUUUCAAGUUUGUAAUUUUGUAUCAAAGAUUGUAUCACAAUUCAAAAUAAAUAAAAGUAAGUUUUAAUCAUAUUCUGUGUACAACGUUCAAAUCCUUAUAAUUAUCAAAUUCUAAUAUAUUGUAUAUCAAAAUAGUAAUAACGUUACAAAUUAAUAAAAAUAAAUGGUAUCAGAGCAUUGUUUUAAAAUUUAGUAUAGUUUUAAAAUUUCUACCAUAUUUUCCAUUUGUAUUAAUGUAUGAUAAACUCUUUUUCAUGGUAAAUGAGCAUUGUUUAAUUGUUUUUAUCAAUUAAUUUAGUAAAACUUCAUAAUACUCCCUAAAUCGAUGGAAUAACCACUAUAAAAUUAUGAUUUUCUUGAUAAACGGAGACGACAAUGGCUCCAAACCUCUUUGAACAUCAUCAUAUGUUAGUGCAGGAUGCAACUAGGCAUUAAAACAAUAUUGUCAUAUUUUUUGAAAUUUUCUCAAAAUCUAUGGGCUAACCCCUACAAAUAUAUUGAGUUUUUGGUAAAUACUUUAUAUACUGAAGCCUAUAAUCUUUAGUGUUGUUUUAAAAUUUCUACCAUAUUGAUAAGAGAUAUAAUAGCCGACUCUUAGCCGUAAAAAAAAAGAGUCAAAUCAUGAGUUAAGAUUCCCAAAUUAAAAACUCGGGUUAAUGCGGGUUUCUUAGGCUGGAGUUCUUAGCCUAAUAUAAAAAACGUCUCUUAGCUUUUAACUAAGAAAAGCUAAGAACUCCACCCUAAGAGAUCCGCAUUAAUCAUACUCUUAGGCCGAUUUUUCAAAAGCAUAGACUAUAUUUUUAAAAUUGUUUAAAAUAUAGUUUAAUUCUGAUUUGAUGACUAGAGGGAUGUUUAGGCGCCGACUAGACGGAUUUUUAGAACACUUAAUUUUGCUGAGUCAUGUAUGAAUUUGAGGCUACGUUUAAGUGUGUAUCUGUGUGGUUGAUGAUGGUUCAGGUGUUCUCGUUUAAGCUUCGUGGAGCUUACAACAUGAUGGUGAAGCUUCCAGCUGAGCAGUUAGCGAAAGGAGUCAUCUGCUCCUCAGCUGGAAACCAUGCUCAAGGAGUUGCUUUGUCUGCCGCCAAACUCGGCUGCACCGCCGUGAUUGUUAUGCCUCGCACAACUCCAGAGAUCAAGGUGAUGUCUUUGAAUACCUUGUUGAAUCUGAAGUUAGUAUCUGAUUGGUCUAUGAAAAAACAAAAAAAAAACAGUGGCAAUCUGUGGAGAAUUUGGGUGCGACGGUUGUUCUUGUUGGGGAUUCGUAUGAUGAAGCACAAGCAUUUGCUAAGCAACGAGCUGAGGAAGAAGGUUUGACGUUUAUACCUCCGUUUGAUCACCCUGACGUUAUUGCCGGACAAGGGACUGUCGGGAUGGAGAUCACAAGGCAAGCUAAGGGUCCGUUACAUGCUAUAUUUGUCCCCAUCGGUGGUGGUGGUUUGAUAGCUGGUAUUGCUUCUUACGUGAAGAGAGUUUGUCCAGAGGUACAGUGUGCAAGUCUUUUGUACUCUUGUUGCUUUGGUGUUGUCACCUUAUUGUGGCUUUAUUGUGGGGUUAUGCAGGUGAAGAUAAUUGGUGUAGAGCCAGCUGAUGCGAAUACAAUGGCGUUGUCGCUGCACCACGGGGAGAGAGUGAUACUAGACCAGGUUGGUGGUUUUGCAGAUGGUGUAGCGGUUAAAGUAGUUGGCGAAGAGACUUUUCGUAUAUCCAGAAAGCUGGUGGAUGGUGUUGUACUCGUCACUCGUGAUGCUAUCUGUGCAUCAAUAAAGGUAACAACGCUUGUGAUACGGUUUGUAACAAUUGCACAAGCAAUGAUCAUAUACUUUUAUCUCUCUACAGGAUAUGUUUGAGGAGCAACGGAACAUUUUGGAACCAGCAGGUGCGCUUGCGAUCGCUGGAGCUGAAGCGUACUGUAAAUAUUAUGGGCUAAAGGACGUGAAUGUUGUGGCCAUAACCAGUGGUGCAAACAUGAACUUCGACAAGCUGAGGAUUGUGACGGAGCUGGCUAAUGUCGGUAGACAACAGGAGGCUGUUCUUGCUACUAUCUUGCCGGAAAAGCCUGGAAGCUUUAAGAAAUUCUGUGAACUGGUGCGUGUGUUUGGUAUUAGAGCAUGUAGCAGUUAAUCCUGUUAAUGUAAUACGUUUGAUCGAUGCAGGUUGGGGCAAUGAACAUAACCGAGUUCAAGUAUAGAUGUGGGUCUGAAAAGGAAUCUGUUGUACUAUACAGGCAAGUCUGUUCCUGAAGAAAUAUUCUGUAUUCGUUGUUAUUCGUCUUCUAAUCCGGACAGUGUUGUGUAUUGUUGCUUAGUGUUGGAGUGCACACACCCGGAGAGCUCAAAGAACUAGAGAAGAGAAUGGAAUCUUCUCAGCUCAGAACUAGGAACCUCACAAGCAGUGACUUAGUAAAAGAUCACCUGCGUUACUUGGUACGUCCCUUUAAGUCAAUAACUCUCAUUGAUUGAUGAAAGUUUGGUUAUGUGAAUGACACUUUGUAUAUGUUCAGAUGGGUGGAAGAUCAAGUGUUGAAGAAGAGGUUCUAUGCCAAUUCACCUUCCCAGAGAGACCAGGUGCUCUGAUGAACUUCUUGGACUCUUUCAGUCCUCGCUGGAACAUUAGCCUUUUCCAUUACCGUGCAGAGGUUUGUAUCUGAGUUCACCAUUACACCACAAGAAAGCUUUUUUGUAACUUCAAUGGUUCCUUCUUUCAAAACAGGGUGGGGCAGGUGCAAAUGUGCUGGUCGGGAUCCAAGUGCCGGAGCAAGAAAUGGUGGAGUUCAGAAACCGAGCUCAAGUUCUUGGAUACGAGUACGUCUUGGUAAGUGAAGACACAGUUUUCAAGCUUCUAAUGCACUGAGUUUAAAGCUGUGAUGGAGAGACCAAAUCCGAGGAAGUAGUAGAAGCCAUGGGAGUCUUCCUUGUGUCCAUGGUUGUUCUUGAGCUCUCUGUUAGAACAAAAUCUGUGAGUCUCGGGUCUUUUAGAUGGGCUUUUAUGUCACGGGCCUAUUACGCUAGCCCAAUAUGUAACCUUUAUUGCCUACGAGCUCUCAACUAUGCUGUAGUCUGUAGACUUUGGAUACCUUUCAGCAAAUAAUGUGAGGGCUAAGAGCAUGCGCAUCAGGAGUUCAAGGGGAGGGGAUCACACGUUUUCCAAAAAAUAAUAAUAUCAAAAUAAGCAUAAAUGAAGACUUUGGCUCGUCCAGCUUUUUCCGCAUGAACUCGAACUCGAGUCGUGACUGUUCAGCGGGCCCCACGCCACGUGGUAGCUUGUUAUUGGUCACUUUAUUUAAUUAUUUUUUUUAAAUCAAACAAAAAAAAAAUUAAAAAAUUAAUUUCUUGAACUUCAACGAACGGUUCGCCGCUGCGCAUGCUCUAACCUUCCAAUAAAUUUGAUAUAACAAGUAAUUCUGUUGUAGAUUUGUAUGCAAAUAUAUACUCCCUCCGUUUCAAUAUAGAUGAUGUUUUAGAAGGUUUGUUUUGUUUUGUUUCAAUUUACAUGAAGUUUUGAGAUUUUAAGGAAGUUUUGAGAUUUUAAGGUUAACUUUAACUUUAUUGGAAACUGUUCAACCAAUUACAUUUUACAGUCUUUUUUAUAAUUGGUUAACGGAUUUUAAAAUUAUAUCUUUAAAAUAUUUUUCUAGAGAAAUGUAAUUUUCUUAAACUUUGUGCACUACUACAAAACAUCAAGUAUUAUGAAACAGAGGGAGUAUCAUAUUAUUCAAAUCACUCAGGAUGAGAGGAUGCCUAGGGGGGGGAUCUGGGCACAACCGGUUAAAACAUUGGUCUUGGCCCCAAAAAAAUUGGAGGCUUUUUACGUGGGCAAAAAAGCCCCAACUCAUGAAAAAAUAAUUCUUAAAAAAAUGUUUCAAACCCCGUGAUGAUCUGGUCCUAAAUUGAUCAAAUUUUCGACAUAUCAGCAAAUUAUUAUUCUUUUAAAUAGAGCCAAAACGUAUAUAAAUGAUUAACUGUAGAAGUUACAUCAAAAUUAUUACUGUCUACUGCUGUAAAAAAGAACGAAUUUUAUCACUGAAAUAAAUGAAAAGAGUCAAAAAGAAAGAAAAACCUUCACACCCGGUGGGACUCGAACCCACAAUCGUUUGAUUAGAAGUCAAACGCCUUAUCCAUUAGGCCACGGGUGCAUCUGUUGUGAACAUAUUUAUUAAAGUAGAUAACGUUUAUGUUAAAUAUAAGAAAUUGGUUCAUUAUCUGGUUAUGAUUCAACUACUUUGUAAUAUCUAUGUUAACGCUCGAACUUUAUAUCUCAAAUCCGAAUAUUCUUUUUAUUCCCGACGCAAAGAACAUACCAUGUUAGUGGAUACAUUACAAACAUGAUAAAGAAAACAUAACAUAGAUAAGAGAGAUAUUACAAAGUAGUUCAUAAUCUGCUGAUUCCGAGGGGAACCGAAGCUUGCCAAAGGAUAGAAGUUGCUCAAUUUCUAGAUGGAGAUAAAGAAAACUUGCUAUCUCUCCAUCAUCAGCCUUCUGCAGUCUUCAUUGCUCCAUAUCUUAAAACACUUUCCUUACAAGAACACAAAAUCACUUUAACUAGACAUUAAUUAGUAAUCUCCUUUUUUUUGGCCAUCCCUGAAGAUAUAAACCUCUAAGAUAAAUCAGAGGUUUUUCUCUUCUUCACCUUAGGGGAUGGCCAUUCUCUUUUGAUUUGCGGUGUUCUGCCAAAUUAAGAGAAGGUUUCAAUAAUGGAGGCUUGCUAGGGGUUUUUAUAGAUUUUUAUUUAUUUUUCUUUGAUUUGUGCUACUUUUUUGUUUGUCUAUGGUCAUGAAGACAUUUAAAAAGAUACACCGAAAAACCGUCUUAGUGUUCUUUCCACUUUUUCUCAUUACUUUUUCAUAUUUUUUCUAAGAAAACAGGUUAUUAAAACAAUGAAUCAAUAUAUAUCAUGUUUAUUAAUGUUCUUUAUAAAGGAUAUUCCUUUUGUAUCAUAGAUGGAUGCAUAUGUUAUUUUGGUACAUAUACACGUAUUUAUUUUGUAGUUAUUAUAUAUCUCAUGCUGAAUAACAAAAUACACAAUAACACAUAAGGGGAAUAAUCGUGUAGUGUAAAGAGAGUAUUGGGAAUGUUUUUUAAAAAACUUCUAUACAUAUAUAUUAGUUGAAGUGGAAGCAGAUGAUGCUGGAAUCAAGGGGAGUCUUACGUGAAUAUGCUUGGAAUUUUGGAUCAUCCUAUUGAAUAUGCCAUUCACCUAGAUUGCCUUUUUCAGUAGUAUAUACACUCAUGAUUCAUAUGAUGACAUCUGCAAAAUUCAGGUUUAUAACUAGUCUACUAUACACUUAAUCAGGUAUGUAAACUACCCGAGAUGUCAGGAAUGUAGAAUUUCUUUUCAGAAUAUGAUUAUUCGUCGAGAUACAAAUAUUAUAGUUAUAUAGUUUAAAUCUUCUAACAAAGUUUUAAUCAAUUAACUUGUUAAAUAUAUUUUCUUCAAAUAUUUCAAAGAACUUAACUUAAUUCACUAUAAUGUAUAUAUAUUUCUUAAAAUUCACUAUUAAUAUUUGGAAAAGUCAAAAACUUAGUAUAUGCAAUAUUUCAAAUAUAUAUUUUGUCAAUUUUCGAUACAAUAAAAUCAGGUAGAAGCCGAUAGAAAAGGUUUCCUGAAAACCACAUCUAUUUUAACCCGGUUUGAUCUGCAUAAAAAAAUAAAGUUAUAAUUAUUUUCAAACAAGUUUAUUUUAAUGAUUUGGUAUCAUUUUACCUGCUAGGACUACGAGUCCUUUCUUUGAGACAUUCAUUCUACUGCACCAUAAUAGCAGGUAGUAUAAUUUAAUUUUCUUGAAUAGUACACUAGUAUAUGAAAUCGACCUUCCGUGGUUUCCUGAUAAAGAACCAGUAUUAAUGCAAGAUAUUAAAUCUAUAUAUCAACAGAACAAUUAUCAAAGUCAAAUACUAUAUACAAUUUCUAAACAGAUAGAUAGCAUUGAUAAUAAAAUAAAUAUUAAUAAAAAAGGAAAAGUGGACCAACACACUCAACACCCUUUCUCAUCAACGACCUACCCAAUCUUUAAACCAACAACAAGACAAAUCAAAUUUCCUGAAAAUGAAAUUUUAAAAUCAAUUUCGACCAGAUUAGACAGGUUAGAUAAAGGAAAAGGAAUAAACACUAUAGAUGAAGAUGACAAUGAAUCUAUCCAAACCUCCUCACAAUCAGAAAACGAUAUACAAGAAAUAAAUCGAAUAAAAAAUAAAUCAAGAAAACCAUAUUAUCCUAGGCAUACUCCACCUGAUUUAUUAUUUGAAGAACAUCACAAAUAUACUAGUAAAGAAUACUCUGGAGAAAGUAUAUACGAAUGGAAUAUAGAUGGACGAUCAGAAUAUGAAAUGCUAAAUUUAUUUCAAGAAAUGGUAAUGGCUACAAUGGCUUACAAAGGUAGAGGAAAUAAUGAUCAACAAUCAUGCAUUUUGUUAGUAUCUGGAUUUACUGGAGCAUUAAGAUAUUGGUGGGAUAACUCAUUAGACGCAAUUACACAAGAAUCUAUAAUUAAUCAUGUUGAAAUAAAACAACAAGAAGAUGAAGAAGGAUUUAUGAAUGAUAUAGAAGUACAAAACGCAGUAGAAGUAUUGAUACAUACUUUAACAAUGCAUUUUAUUGGAAAUCCUAAAGAAGAAUUAGAAAGUAAAAAAAUUAUAUUAACAAAUUUAAGGUGUCCAACAUUAGGAGAUUUUAAAUGGUACAAGGAUGUUUUUAUAACAAACAUAUUCCAAAGAAACGAUUGUAAUCAAGCAUUUUGGAAAGAACGGUUUAUCUCAGGAUUACCAUCUUUCUUUGCAGAAAGAGUAAUUGGUAAAUUAAAAGAGUAUUCAGGAGGACAACCAAUCCCUUGGAAUACGAUUACUUACGGACAAUUAUUCGCAUUUAUAAAGAAAGAAGGAUUAGCUAUAUGUCAAGAACAUAAAGAUAAAAAACGAAAUGAUAAAUUUAAGUUUAAAAUAACUAUGGGAUCAUUCUGUGAUCAGUAUGGCUAUAAUCAACUUAACCCUCCAUCAAGAAUUAAACGACUAAAGCAUAGGCAUAAUAAAACUAAGUAUUUUCAUAAAAAUAAUAAAUUUAAUAAAAAAUCAACAAAUCAAUACUAUACAAAGAAUAAUAAGCACAAAUCAAAUAAUAAGCAGAAAAUAGUAUGUUGGAAUUGUAAAAGACCUGGACAUAAAUCCACGGAAUGUAAAAUGAAAAAGAAGAUAAAUGAAAUAUUUCAAAAUCAACCAGAUAUACAAGAAAAAUUAACUAAACUAUUAAUAUCAGAAUCAGAAAUAUCAGAAGAAUCGAGUAGUGAUAACUCUAUAGAUGAGAUAGGAAAUAUUAGUGAUACUUCAAUAGAAUCACAAGAAUUGUCUGAUAAUCUAUGCAAUUGUAAAAUUAUUAACGUUAUAACAAAAGAUAUUGAUAAACAAUUUCUACUAGACAUAAUUGAUAAAAUUGACGAUCCAAAAAUUAAGAAAGAAUAUUUAACUAAACUAAAAGAUAUAAUAUAUCAAGAAAACCAAUUAUCUAGCCCUCAACCCUUUAGUUUAAAUAAAAUAUUUGACAAAUAUCCUACACAAAGUUUAUUUAAGCAAGUAACUACGGGAGAACUACAAAAUGAAGUUAAGCAAUUAAAGACGCAAAUUAAAGAAUUACAAUUAAUAGUAAAUCAACACGAAUUAAAACAAUUGCAAACAGAUGCUAGAUUAUCAUUAAUAGAAGCAAAAAAUACUACUCCAACAUCUACAAGUAGUUUAAAUCAAGCAUUUACAAGUAAUACAAAUCUAGAAAAUGACGAAAAUAAGCAAAUCGGACCUACCGAAGACUAUAUUCAAAUAAUUAAUAAAAUCAAUUAUCAAAAAUGGUAUACAAAUAUUACCUUACAUGUGGGACAUGAUUUCAAAAUAAACAUAAUAGCAUUAAUGGAUACAGGUGCUGAUUACAACUGUAUUCGCGAAGGAAUUAUACCAACUAAAUAUUAUGAAAAAAACUACUGAAAAAUUAAGUGGAGCAAACGGAAGUAAUUUAAAGGUACAAUAUAAACUAUCAUGUGCAAAAAUAUGUAACCAAGGAUAUUGCUUCAAAAAUCAAUUUAUUCUAGUAAAAAACUUAACACAAGAAGUAAUAUUAGGAACUCCAUUUUUUACUCAAAUAUAUCCAUUCAAAGUAACAGAAAUAGGAGUAAUCACAAAAGUAGUAGGAACAAAAUUAUCAUUUGAAUUCUUAUCUCCUAUGAAAACCAAAGAAAUACUAAGCUUACAACAAAAUUCUAUUCAAAAAACAAUUAAUUUAAUAAAAGGGAAACAAAAUCAUAUACAAUAUCUACAAAAUGAAAUAGCAUACAAAAAAAUAGAAGAACAACUUAAGAUGCCUUACAUAAUAAGCAAGAUAAAAGCUAUUGAAAACGAUAUAUUAAACCAAAUCUGUUCAGAAUUGCCAAACGCUUUCUGGGAAAGAAAACAACAUACAGUUGAACUCCCAUAUAUAAAAGAGUUUAACGAAAGAAAUAUACCAACUAAAGCAAGACCUAUUCAAAUGAAUAAAAAAUAAUAGAAGAACAACUUAAGAUGCCUUACAUAAUAAGCAAGAUAAAAGCUAUUGAAAACGAUAUAUUAAACCAAAUCUGUUCAGAAUUGCCAAACGCUUUCUGGGAAAGAAAACAACAUACAGUUGAACUCCCAUAUAUAAAAGAGUUUAACGAAAGAAAUAUACCAACUAAAGCAAGACCUAUUCAAAUGAAUAAGGAAUUAUUAGAACACUGUAAAAAGGAAAUAAAUGAUUUAUUAGACAAAAAAUUAAUCAGGUCAUCCAAAUCUCCCUGGAGCUGUUCGGCCUUUUAUGUAAAUAAUCAAGCUGAAAAAGAACGUGGGAUACCAAGAUUAGUAAUAAAUUAUAAACCAUUAAAUGAUGUAUUACAAUGGAUACGAUAUCCAAUACCUAACAAAAGAGAUUUAUUAAAACGACUUUAUAAUGCAAGAAUUUAUUCAAAAUUUGACAUGAAAAGUGGCUUUUGGCAAAUACAAAUUGCCGAAAAAGAUAAAUAUAAAACAGCAUUUACCGUACCAUUCGGACAUUAUGAAUGGAAUGUAAUGCCUUUUGGUCUUAAAAACGCACCUUCUGAAUUUCAACAUAUAAUGAAUGAUAUAUUCAAUAAUUAUUCAAAAUUUACAAUUGUCUACAUAGAUGACGUGUUAGUAUACUCCACUUCAAUAGACCAACACAUUAGUCACUUAAACACAUUCCUCAGUAUAGUUAAAAAACAUGGAUUAGUUAUAUCAGCCAAGAAAAUUUCUUUAUUCCAAACAAAAAUAAGAUUUUUAGGACAUAAUAUAUAUCAAGGAACAAUCAUACCUAUUUCAAGAUCAAUUGAAUUCGCAGAUAAAUUUCCUGACGAGUUAAGAGAAAAGACCCAAUUACAAAGAUUUUUAGGAUGUCUAAACUAUGUUUCAGACUUCUUACCCAAUCUUAGGAAAACAAUUCAACCAUUAUUUCAACGGUUACAAAAGAAUCCAAAACCAUGGACUAAUCAACAUACCCUUUUAGUCAAACAAGUUAAGCAAAAGGUUAAAACUCUUCCAUGCCUUUCCAUACCAAAUCCUGAAGCUGACAUGAUAGUUGAAACUGAUGCUUCAGAAAUAGGUUAUGGAGGAAUUCUUAAGCAAAAAUUACCACAAUCAAAACAAGAAUCUAUAGUUCGAUUCCAUUCAGGAGUCUGGUUAGGACCACAAAAGCAUUAUUCAACAGUAAAGAAAGAAGUUCUCUCAAUUGUUAAUUGUAUCUCAAAAUUCCAAGACGACUUAAUCAACAAAAAGUUUUUAUUAAGAGUAGAUUGCAAAUCAGCAAAAGAAAUAUUACAAAAAGAUGUCAAAAACCUAGUAUCAAAACAAAUAUUUGCUAGAUGGCAAGCAAUAUUAUCCGUUUUCGAUUUCGAUAUUCAAUAUAUUAAAGGAGAAAAAAAUUCUUUACCCGACUUUCUAACAAGAGAAUAUUUGCAGGGAAAAUCCACAGAUAAUCAACAACAACAAGAUAUUCAAAAUGAGUGACCAGAAGAUGAAAAAGCCGAUGACAGCAUCAGAUUAUAUCAAAAACCAACCACAUCUCCAAGGAAGGACUUUAACUCCAAACCCUUACUCAGCAUUAGCUGAAUAUCCUCCUCUAUCUUAUUCAAAAGCAGUCUCUGAAAAGUCAUCAAAGAUGGAAGCACAAUCAUCUACAGCAACCCCAAACACAACCUCAAACACUACUCCAAACACUAAACCAGUCUACUACACCAAACCUUAUAAGCAACACCUUAUGACGACCCCAUACACUAAACCAGUAAACCUUACCCAACUCAAAACCUUCAUCAAUCGAGUCUUCUACGAGGACAGUCCCUGGCCAACAGAUAACAUAACCAAAAACCAAUCCUUUUAUGAGUAUAUUCUAGUAGACUCUAAGUCUAUAGAAAUCACCCAUUACAAAGACAAGACGAACCCAAACCUCAUCAACUAUUCAACCUGCAAAUUCCUACGAAUUUGUUCUACCCAAGACCUUGGUUUUAUACAUCAUCAUACAACAAAACCUUUUUCUACCCCAGGCUAUCAUAUCGACGGCUACACCUAUACCGAUUACAAAAAUGCCUUUUAAAGAUCAUAUGUACGUCCUUGCUAUCACCCUUUAGCACACAUAAGAACUUAAAUAAAAUCUAAGCAAGUCUCGUGAGUAUUUCUCCAAGCUCCAACCAAACUAAAUUCCAAAAGCUACAAAUCUCAGAUUCGCUUUGCAAGAGCAGCUACAAAAACUUUGAAGAGACACUGUAACAAUUUAAAGAGUCAAGUGCACUUACCUUAAUAAACUAGAGCUGAGCCAUAAUCAAAACCAAACACAGAAUCAACCCAAAACCCAUAAGAAUGACCAAACAAAAACACCCGAAUCAUGAAUGUUAUCUAAAUCAAAAGAAUGAUCAAACGAAAAACACCCAAAAUCAAACCAAACACAGAAGCAAACAACACAGAUCUCUCCGAACAACAAGUAGAUCAAACGGUGAGAACCUAAAAGAAAUGACGCAAUCAGAUUAAGAUAUUAAGCUUCAAUUGAUCUGAAAUAUCUUAGAGUCAAUGGAGUCUCUUCUAAACUAACGAGUUUGUCGAUAGAUCAAAUCAAACCCAGAAAAUACACUUCAAUCGAUCAUAAAUCAACAAAAUCAAUGACCCAAAAAGGCUAAAUUGAAGGAAAAUAGACUUUGACUCACAACGAAGGUGACGUUGUUGUGUUGUGACCAAUGACCCAAAAGGUGUGAUUGAUGUGGUGAUCAAUGCCAAUGGUGUAUGUGUUGAACAGAGAUCAAAGAGUUCGCUAGCGAGAAACGGAAAAAAAAAUGAGAGGAAUUAUGUGAGAAAAACUGGGUUGGAUUGGAUAAUCCAUAAACCCAUUUUAUCCAACCCAAUAAGAAUCCAACUCACUAAACUCAUUAACCCAUAAAAACCAUUUAUCCAUUAACAUCCAAAUUAUUGACUCAUUAAAACCAUGGAUUGGUUUGGUUUGGAUCAAUCCAUUAAUUUAAACCCAUUUUGACACCUCUACUCUAAACCGACAAAUUUUAGCUCACCCUUUAAAGCUGAAGCUAUCAAAGAUGAUAAAGAACCAGUAUUAAUGCAAGAUAUUAAAUCUAUAUAUCAACAGAACAAUUAUCAAAGUCAAAUACUACAUACAAUUUCUAAACAGAUAGAUAGCAUUGAUAAUAAAAUAAAUAUUAAUGAAAAAGGAAAAGUGGACCAACACACUCAACACCCUUUCUCAUCAACGACCUACCCAAUCUUUAAACCAACAACAAGACAAAUCAAAUUUCCUGAAAAUGAAAUUUUAAAAUCAAUUUCGACCAGAUUAGACAGGUUAGAUAAAGGAAAAGGAAUAAACACUAUAGAUGAAGAUGACAAUGAAUCUAUCCAAACCUCCUCACAAUCAGAAAACGAUAUACAAGAAAUAAAUCGAAUAAAAAAUAAAUCAAGAAAACCAUAUUAUCCUAGGCAUACUCCACCUGAUUUAUUAUUUGAAGAACAUCACAAAUAUACUAGUAAAGAAUACUCUGGAGAAAGUAUAUACGAAUGGAAUAUAGAUGGACGAUCAGAAUAUGAAAUGCUAAAUUUAUUUCAAGAAAUGGUAAUGGCUACAAUGGCUUACAAAGGUAGAGGAAAUAAUGAUCAACAAUCAUGCAUUUUGUUAGUAUCUGGAUUUACUGGAGCAUUAAGAUAUUAGUGGGAUAACUCAUUAGACGCAAUUACGCAAGAAUCUAUAAUUAAUCAUUUUGAAAUAAAACAACAAGAAGAUGAAGAAGGAUUUAUGAAUGAUAUAGAAGUACAAAACGCAGUAGAAGUAUUAAUACAUACUUUAACAAUGCAUUUUAUUGGAAAUCCUAAAGAAGAAUUAGAAAGUAAAAAAAUUAUAUUAACAAAUUUAAGGUGUCCAACAUUAGGAGAUUUUAAAUGGUACAAGGAUAUUUUUAUAACAAACAUAUUCCAAAGAAACGAUUGUAAUCAAGCAUUUUGGAAAGAACGGUUUAUCUCAGGAUUACCAUCUUUCUUUGCAGAAAGAGUAAUUGGUAAAUUAAAAGAGUAUUCAGGAGGACAACCAAUCCCUUGGAAUACGAUUACUUACGGACAAUUAUUCGCAUUUAUAAAGAAAGAAGGAUUAGCUAUAUGUCAAGAACAUAAAGAUAAAAAACGAAAUGAUAAAUUUAAGUUUAAAAUAACUAUGGGAUCAUUCUGUGAUCAGUAUGGCUAUAAUCAACUUAACCCUCCAUCAAGAAUUAAACGACUAAAGCAUAGGCAUAAUAAAACUAAGUAUUUUCAUAAAAAUAAUAAAUUUAAUAAAAAAUCAACAAAUCAAUACUAUACAAAGAAUAAUAAGCACAAAUCAAAUAAUAAGCAGAAAAUAGUAUGUUGGAAUUGUAAAAGACCUGGACAUAAAUCCACGGAAUGUAAAAUGAAAAAGAAGAUAAAUGAAAUAUUUCAAAAUCAACCAGAUAUACAAGAAAAAUUAACUAAACUAUUAAUAUCAGAAUCAGAAAUAUCAGAAGAAUCGAGUAGUGAUAACUCUAUAGAUGAGAUAGGAAAUAUUAGUGAUACUUCAAUAGAAUCACAAGAAUUGUCUGAUAAUCUAUGCAAUUGUAAAAUUAUUAACGUUAUAACAAAAGAUAUUGAUAAACAAUUUCUACUAGACAUAAUUGAUAAAAUUGACGAUCCAAAAAUUAAGAAAGAAUAUUUAACUAAACUAAAAGAUAUAAUAUAUCAAGAAAACCAAUUAUCUAGCCCUCAACCCUUUAGUUUAAAUAAAAUAUUUGACAAAUAUCCUACACAAAGUUUAUUUAAGCAAGUAACUACGGGAGAACUACAAAAUGAAGUUAAGCAAUUAAAGACGCAAAUUAAAGAAUUACAAUUAAUAGUAAAUCAACACGAAUUAAAACAAUUGCAAACAGAUGCUAGAUUAUCAUUAAUAGAAGCAAAAAAUACUACUCCAACAUCUACANNNNNNNNNNNNNNNNNNNNNNNNNNNNNNNNNNNNNNNNNNNNNNNNNNNNNNNNNNNNNNNNNNNNNNNNNNNNNNNNNNNNNNNNNNNNNNNNNNNNUAUAUCGGCAAUGUAUUUGCUGCGUCUUCAACCCACUAAUUAUAGUAUAAAUAGAUGCUACACCUAUGAAUCCAUAAUCAGCUCCCUUCAAACAUAUGUGACAAUAUAGGAAUUUAAAUGGAGAAAAAUUCAGCAUUUUUUGUCAUCCUCUUCCUGGUCUCGUCAUGUAAGCAUUAGCCGUUUUAUGAUCUCGAUCAUUUGAUAUGUUACAUCCUUAACAGUUUUGGUGUGUACAUGAAUGAUUACCAGUCAUGGUGAAAGUUACUGUGAAAGUGCCUUUGAUAAUAUGUCAAAAAGACAAAGAUUGUCUGAAGUUUGGACUCCCAAGUUGUAAGGACACAGGGAAGAUGCCAAUUUGCCUCCACAAUUAGUGUGGCUGUUACCAUGAAAUCCAUACUCCUUCAUCGACGACCUCCAACUCUUGACAAUCUUCAUGUUUAUAUACAUGUGGAUUUAAAUAAUGAAAAGGCUAUAUAUAUAACUCUUUCAUUGCUCUCUUCUCUCCAUGCAUCUUCUUAAUGUAUCUCUCUAUAAUAGACUUAUAACUAAUGGCCUACUUGGCUUUGGACCGCUUUUUUUCUUUUCCAAUUUAAUAAAAUAAUAUAGAUGUUGUAUUACAUCUUUCACUUGGAAAAGUUAAUUUGUAAUGGUAUUCAAGCUUCUGGUAUGUCAGUUAAAGACCAGAAGCCAUCACUUGCAAGUUUUGUACGUUAGAGAUGCAUAGCUUCAUAAACAAAAUCUUUUAUGUGCACUCAAAAUCUUUAUAAAGGAUAAGUAAGCAUCAAAAGCACUUUUGACGUGGUCCUAUUGAUGUGAUUAUGCAAAUGAGUCCAAAUACAUAUAGAACAUUAUGGUAGAUAGAUUAACAAACUAUAUGGAGGUUAUGCAUUAAGAGGAUAAAUCAAGGGCAUUUAGGUCCACCGAGCUGAGUCUUCCAGUUGUUGUAGCAAGGGCAGACUUGCUUGUUGCCAUAAGUACCUGGAGGUACACACAAGCACUUGGCACAACAUUUGUUACAGAAGAACAAACAUGGCUUCUUGUAUUUUGUAUUCGAGCAUCUAUCUCCACACCGUGGCCCACACUCUAGUAUAGUCAAAAAAUGGAUUUUAGCUUUUGCAUUCAGCGCAAACAAUAUAUUGAACGCUAGCUAGUCAUUGGUUUACCUUGGGGUUGAAGGCUGCCUUCAGUAGUACCGUACUGUCAAAAUCAACAAGAAGGUCAAAGGGGGUUGUGUGGAUUUCAUGAAACUCUUUUUAGUGAGUAGUGAAGCCGUAGAAACUCACUUGGGAGCUGUUGUGAUGCGGUGUUUGCGGUUGGGACUGUGGUGGAUGUGGUUGUGGAGCAGGAGACUCCAGGUGUAUUGGCUGUACGAUAAUCAAGACGUAUGAAAAUAAUACAAAGUUUGAUGAAUGUGAAGAACUGAAAAAAGUAAUUACGUACAUCCUAAAAUAGAACGAAUGUUCAAACACUUACGUGCAUUUGAGUUUGAGCAGACAGAACAAGAUGAAACAUAACAAUGGAGAGAAAAAUGGUGUUAAGAUUGGUUGCCAUUUUAGAUAACAUAAAUGAUUGUAAUGAAGCUCACGUAGAGGAUUUAUUUUGCAGACUAAGCUCACUAUGAACAAUGAUAUAGGGGUCAAUAUAUAUAGAGUCCAAUUUCCAAAUAAAAAAUGGAAAACAUAUUUCUCCUGUUACUGAUUAUUUUUUGGCAAACUAAAUCGUGAUUUAUGUGUAUAUAUAUAUUUUAUCGAAUAGAUAAUUAUCAAAAUUGGUACGAAUAUAGACUUCAUGUUCCCAAUCUUGUGCAUGUGAAGGAGAGCGAGAGCAAAAGUUGUGAUAACGAACGUAUCACAUGUGUGUUUUUGCUGCUAUUAGUCCCUAUCUCUUUCUCGUGACUCCAGUUUUUUUCUCCCAUUGAAGUUAAAAACAUAUUUUGUAUUUUUGUGAUUUAUUUCUAAAUGUUAUUGGAAACGAAUUUCAUCAAGAAAGACACGUACAUGGCUAGAAUUUCCGAGGUCUGAAGUGGGUUUCCUCUUUAGGCAUCCCCGUGUAGGGCUGGGCAAAUAAACCGAACCCGAAAAUCCGAACCGAAUCCGAUCCGAUAAAAAUGAAUCCGAACCGAUCCGAACCCGACGUAAAUACCGAAUGGAUCUUGUUUUGUGGUAUUUCGGAUUAUGGGUAUUAUCCGAACCGAACCCGAAUCUAAAUGGAUAUCCGAUAAAACCCGAAACAUUCAAAACCUCGAAUAGAUCUUGUACCAAACAUGAUCUCAAUUCCUAAUAUUUAUCCAAAAUACUCUAAGAAAUAUUGAACAUCUAAAAUAUUUAUCUAUUACAUGAAGGUUGAUGGUUCUAUUACAUGAAGGUUGAUGGUAGAAGAUGGCCAUUGAAUCUUGAAGUAUUUAGAUUUAGAUUUUGUUUUCGUUAAACAAUGUUUCUCAUUUCAUGAGAACUUGGUUUUCGUUUUAUGCUUUUAUUUAUUUUGUUUUCUUUUUAUCAGUAAAUAUGUUUAUUUUUCGUUUGAUUUUGAAUGAUCACGGUUGAUGUUCUUUAUUUUUGAAUCAAUUUUACUUAAGUUUUGGUUGCAAAAUAGGUACAAAUCAGAUAUUUUAAAACUGAAGAACCGAUUUUACUCAUAUUUUGGUUAUAAAAUAGGUAAAAAUCAGGUACUUUUAAACCGAAAAACCGAUUGGGAUCCGAACCCGAAAAUAUAUUGGGUUGUACCGGUUCUUUGAAGAUUUACUAACUCCGACCCGAACCCGAACCGGUCCCGAACCGAAUUUUCAUAUAAUCCGAAUGGGGCUGAUUUUGAUAAACCCGAAAAAUCGAAUGGAUAAAAUCGAAACCCGAUUGGGACCCCGAAUGCCCAGACCUAUCCCCGUGAUCUUAUUGUGUUUGCAUGCAUAGCCAUUGCAUGUGGUGACAAGGCGAUCAUGCAUAACGCCUUUUUAAAAAGGAAUGUAUAGAACGCAUCGAACGUUUUUCUUUUUGUUUUUACAUCCAGUAAAUGUUUUGAGGUGCAACAAAAGGAAUAAUAUGAGGAGGGGCUUUUUUUUUUUUUUUUUUUUUUUUUAAAAAAAAAAAAAGGGGGGUUUUUUUUUUUUUUUUUUUUUGUUCAAAAUAUGAGGAGGGGCUAGCGUGUUACAAAAAAGAAAAAAUUACAUCUAGACAUACUUUUUUAUUGCCAACUUACAUCUAGACAUACUUUGAGCAUGUCACAUACUUUUUUUGGACAAAAUACCUAAAAAACCCUUUGAACUCUAACCAACUAGAAAAGUGGGGGGACUUUACUCAAUCAAUCUCCCUUUACAUUUACGAUGGAACUUUAAUGUCCUAACUCUCUAAUUCGUUUUCUCUCUCAUUCUUUUCUCCCACACAUCUCCUUUGUCAAACGCCAUAUCUCUUUGAAAAAUCUAUCAUUUUUUUUUCUUGUCCUUCUUUCUUCAUUUGCCUCUCCUCUUUCCUUCUUCUCGUUCUCUCUUUCUUUUUUAUAUUUUUCAGAUCUGAAAAUCUUUCAAAACAACACUACCAUCUUGAUUUUUUACAUGAUUACUAUCACCACAAUAGUUUUUCGUUGCCAUCACCACAACUCUUUUCACGGCCACCACCGCACUCGAAGAACCACCGCUGCAAUUCUUUCUGAGAAAACCCUGAAUACAUAAACACAGAAUUUUGACCACAUGAACAUUAAUCCGACCACUGACCCUGAUUCUGACCAUAUGAACAAUAACCCUGAUUCUAACCCUAACCACAUCUCUACCAACAACCACGUUUCACCAAGCCAAGCUUCACCAGACAACAUAUCAGCCAACCAUCCUUCACUCAACCACACUUCUUCCAACCACAAAAGACAACAACCACCAUGUGGUGGUUUCACAUAAGAGCAAAUAAGUAGUCAUAUAUUUCAAUUUAAAAAUAUUGACCACAUCAUAUCUGACCAUACAUAUUUAUCUGAUUUGUACUUUCUUUUGUACCUGUCGUUAGAUUAAGUUUAUCACACUUUAAUCUAACGGUUCCCAUUAAAGCACACUAUUCAAUAAAUCUACCAAUUAAUUGUAACAAAAAGAGACUAACUAGUAUUUACUUUUCAAGACCAAAGUCUCGUUUCUAUCAAGGGUACUUUGGGAACAGAAAAUCAAAAAGGUAGUUCCAAAGUACACCUCCAGCUGGAAGUACCUCAACAUGUUAUAGAUCCAAAAAAAGUAACCCAUAAUGUAAUGCUCUCUACAAAAAAGAGGAGGGGCUAGCGAUCUUUAUGCUGUUUGAUUUUGGACCACAGUGUAGAAAAUUUGUGUAGAGUAACGUUAUAUUUAUACAGAUUGUUAACUUUAUAUUUUAAUAAGUUACUACUGCGACUCCAUAAAAUAAGAAGUUCAACUAUUAACUAUAAUCAUAACUACAAGUCUACACCAUCAAUAUUGACAUUUUUUCUCAAAAAAAUAAAAAAAUAAAAAAAAAUAAAAAAAAUAUUGACAUUUGACAGCUAGGGGUGGACAUUCGGGUAUUUCGGUAUAGAGGUCUAGAACCCGUUCGGGUAUUUCUGUACUUCGGAUCGGGUUCGGGUAUUUUUAGUUCGGAUUCAGUUAUUUCGGAUCGGGUUCGGAUAUUUAGAUUUUGAAAAAAAAAUUAAAAUUUUCAUUUCUCAAGUUUGUUGUAUUUAAAAAUAUAACUUUCAGUUAACUAAUUUUAUAUUUUUAAUAGAUUGAAUGGUUAAUAGAUUUGCACAUAACAUUUUAAAACUAAAAAGACAUUAAUUUAGUUAUUUUUUUUAAUUUUGGAUGUAAAUUUUUGUUAAUUUUUGAAAUAAAAAAUUUGACAUGCAUUUUAAGUGAGUAAGAAAUCAUUUUUUCUGUAAUUGUAUGUAUAUCAUAUGAACUUAAAGUAUGUGUAGUAUCAAUAUAAAUAUUUUAUAUAAAAUGAGAGAUAUAAACUAGAAAUAUAAAGUUAAUUAUAUGUAUGUUCGGUUAUCUUCGGAUAUCCAUUCGGUUUCGGGUAUUAUCCGUUCGGGUUCGGAUAUCCAAUCUCUCCUUAUUCAAUACCCGUUCGGAUAUUUUGUUACUUCGGUUCGGAUUUCGGUUCGGGUUUUUCGGAUCGGGUUCGGGUGCCACUUCGGAAAACCAAGAGCAUCCCCAUUAGUGAAACUGAGGGAAGAGGUUUCAGGGAAAUUGAUUAUUAAUUUUUUUUUUCGUUUAAUUUUUUUUAAAAAAAAAAAAAAUAAAAAAAUAAUUAAACCAAUCGCGGGUUGCCACGUGGCGUGGGACUCGUAAAACAGUGAAGAAACGGGUUCAGAAUGAAAAUUUUUUGAGAGACAGGUUCAUAAAAUAUGUGGGAUCCAUAAAUAUUAUUAUUAUUUUUUUUGGAAAACUUGAGAGCUUGGAGAGUGAACCUUAAUGAGGAUGCUCUUACAGUCCUUAGUUCUGUCUCCAUUAGUUUCCUUAGUUUAAAAUGAUUUGAGUUUAGAAAUGGUCAAGUUAGCAAAAUUAAGCCCUUUUUCAAACAAACAAAAAAGUUAGCAAAAUUAAAAUUUAUCAAUUCUCAAAAUAAAUAUAUAUAUUAUCAUUUUCGUUAUGGGUUUGAUCUAGGGCUGUUCAAUAUGAUAAAACCGAACCGUACCGAACCGAACCGAACCGAAAUAGAUAAUAUGGUUUGGUUUUGGUAUAUACCAUAUAAACCGAAUGGAUAUAAUUUUAUAAAAACCGUAGGAUUUGGAUAUGGUUUGGUAUAUAACCGAUUAAACCGAAUAAACCGAACAAAACCGAUUAAAAGUAGAAACAUGUAAAUAUGUAUCUAUUUUAUAACAAUACAUGAAAAUCUAUUUGUUACAUAAGUUAAAUUUGUGUUAAUAACUAUUACCAUAAUUUUAUAGUAAUAAAAAACCUUAAUUUGUAAAAUACUUGAACUAUAACUAAAUAACAAUACAUCGCAAUUCAGACAUCUUAUUUUCUAAGUUUUUUUUUAUCUUUUUGAUUUAUUUUAGUCUUCACUAAAUUAAUAUGAAGAUUAUAAAUUUGAUGGACAAUAAUUAAUGAAAAAUUUUCAAUUGAAAAAACAUGACUUUAAUGAAUACUAAAUAUGGAAGAGUGGAAAAACUUUUCUUUCAUGUUUCUGUUUUGUUUCAAAUUUUUAUUUUCAAAAUUUCAAGCUUUGAUUUUAGUUAUAGAUUUGAUUAUUUUAUUUGAUGGUAGAAGCAUUUUUACUUUUUUGUUCAUUUAUUUGAACAUGUAAUAUAUUUUUAAUAAAUGAUUGUGUUGACAAUAUGACUCUAAAAUUCAUAUAAUAUGAUCUCAAACAAAAUAAUUAUAUUUUUUGGUAUAAAACCGAAUAAAUCGAAAACCGACGGUAUAUAAACCGAACCGAACCGAAGUAAAUAUGGAUUUAGAAUGGUAGUUAUAGUUUACUAACCGAAAUACAGAAAACCGAAAAAACCGAACCGAAACCGAACCGAUAUCCGGAUUGAACACCCCUAGUUUGAUCAGAUUACUUUUUAGGUUAUGUAACUAGUCUUGGCAUUUGGGCCUUAGGUUUGGUCUGGAUCCGUUCUUAUGGGCUCCAAGUUUUAAUAAAAUUUGGUUUGGUUUUUGGAAUGGUUCUUGUCGGAAAAAAAAAGCUCUCUUUCUGAGCGUAGAAAAAAAAAGAGAUUAAUAACUUAUGGCUUUAAAUCAAGUAGGAUGACGCAGACGAUUCGAAAACCAAGGUAGGUGGUGCAGAGUGGAGCUGUCGUCUUCCCUUUUCGGCAAUGGCUGCUGAGUGGUGAGCCCCCCACUAACCCUUAAAACAUCAUCCUUCCUCGAUUUGUUUUCGCAUUCCACAAAUUCUGGAAAGCGAUUUGAUAUACGUUUCAACAAGAAGAGCCACACACGCAAAGAGUCUUUGAAAGUGAUUGCAAAAGCUUUCCAUGGUUGGUCUCUCCUUCUCUUUCUACUAGUUAGCUUAUUAUCUGAUGAAAGGAAAGUGUUUUAGAUUGAAUCUAUUGGUGUUCUUGUCUUGAUAGAUGUGAGUGUUCCUCUUUAUUGGGUUUCUAUCUAAGAUUUUAUCUAUGGAGUUUCUUGAAUCUUAGCAUCCUCAAUGUUGAAUCUUUGAGAAGGCUAAUGAAUGCUUAAAGUAGACAACUUUUCUAUUUUAGAUUGUAUCUAUGGAGUUUCUUGAUUCUUAGCAUCCUCAGUGUUGAAUCUUUGAGAAGGCUAAUGAAUGCUUAAAGUAGACAACUUUUCUGUUUUAGAUUGUAUCUAUGGAGUUUCUUGAUUCUUAGCAUCCUCAGUGUUGAAUCUUUGAGAAGGCUAAUGAAUGCUUAAAGUAGACAACUUUUCUAUUUUAGAUUGUAUCUAUGGAGUUUCUUGAUUCUUAGCUUCCUCAAUGUUGAGACUUUGAGAAGGCUAAUGAAUGCUUAAAGUAGAUAACUUUUAUAUUUUAGAUUUAUUUAUGUAGUUUCUAGAAUCUUAGCAUCCCUGUUGUGAGGCUUUGAGAAGGCUAAUGAAUACUUAAAGUAGAUAACUUUACUUGUAUCAGCAAUUUUGUGAAGAGUUAUUUAGAAAACUCAAGCGCUGACUUGGCUUGGCUUGUUAAUUUGAUUUCAAAUAUGAGCUGUGCCUAUUUGUUUGUUAUAGGGAGUCACGUUGUGCUUUCGACUUUUGAGACUGAACAAUGUCAUGAAUGGUAGAUAAGAACAAAUUUACCAACUUAUCAAAGUAUAUUCUGGUUGCAGAUUUGACAUUCCCUGAUGCUCAUUUAUGUGAACGGGUUUCUAAAGUGCGGAGCACCUCUAGUUCCAUUCUUUUCUCACAAAAGAGAAUCCUUCUUCACUAAAACAACGCCGAGCUCUCAAAGUUUAACUCUAGGCUCUCGGGAUCGUGUUUAUUUCAACAGUAGUAAGUGUAUAUGCACCAUUCACUUGCUUACACUUGUUUCAUACCUGGGACUUAUUGUUGUGUUGGCGUCUCUAGGUCUUAGGUACUCAAGCAAAUCAAUACAAGUUGUGGAGAGUUCUGUUACUGAUAUGGGUGCCAAGGAAGAGAAGGCAGAUAGUGCAGCUUUGUCUUCUUAUGAUGAUGCCAUGGACGCGCUCUCCACUCUUAUUUCUCGUCGACGUGGCGACCGCUCACCUACCUUAGGAAGUCGUGACAAGCUUGAGCAAGUCGUCUCAUAUCUCAAGGUGAUACAGCCAUUUACAGUUAACAUUCUCUGGAUUGUGCUUUCUAGAAUAGGCAUAAACUCACAUGAAAUAAAACAGAAGGCAUACAAAGACUAUUGAGAAUAUUUUCAAUAUUUAAGUGUGACAUGAAUAUUAUGUAACUUACUCUAAAUACUGAAAGUUUUGUCUUCGGUUUUGGUUUUGACAAUACAGAUUUUGGGCCUGGAGGAUAAAAUAAAAGAGUUAAAAGUUAUUCAUGUCGCAGGAACGAAGGGAAAGGUAGGGUGCUUACAUUUCCUGGAAUUUGAAUUGAAACUUUAACUUGAAAUUGUUAGCAGUAUAUUUUAUGUGAGAUGAUAUUUUUUUCCAAUUUUUGAGUAAUUUCAUUUGGUGAGUCAAUUUUGAGUAAUUUCUACUAAUAAUUGUUUGAAAGUUUGAAAUUCUCAUGACCAUUAUUGUAGCUUAUGCUUAUGAAAGGAAGUAAUAUUCAUGUGUUUCAGGGUUCCAUAAGUAGCUUCUGAUUUUUAUUUGUCUGCCUUGUGUAUUUUAUCAGGGCUCAACAUGUGUAUUUUGCGAGGCAAUAUUACGUAACUGUGGGUUUAGAACAGGAUUGUUUACAUCUCCUCACCUGAUGGAUGUGAGGGAAAGAUUCCGAAUAGAUGGGUAAGUUCAUCAGUACAUUUGAUGUUCAAUGCUACGUGAACACUGAGACCUAUUUGAAAUGCUGUUUUUGCUUUUCCAGCUUGGAUAUAUCUGAGGAAAAGUUUCUGCAGUAUUUUUGGGAAUGUUGGAAGUUACUGAAGGUAAAAGACUCUUCAAUAGUUCCAGUUUUAGAUGUAUAACUGGAUAUAGUCUUCAAGUAUUAUUCAUUGCUCACUUUCUGCCAUGAAUUACCAUUUUGAGUCUGUUUUUGUUAUGGAAUGAGAGGAGAAGGAACCGUACUACAUUAUUUUGCUUUGGUCUGAGGGAUGUUUUGGUUGAAUAUAUUUUUAACUAGGAGUAAAAUACUCGGUGUAGACUAUGAGAAAACAGUGUAAAGAUCUAAUUGUGAGCUUCAUAUUUGCAGGAGAAAGCUGUAGAUGGUGUUACCAUGCCUCCUCUUUUUCAGUUCCUCACAGUGUUGGCAUUUAAGAUUUUUGUUUGUGAAAAGGUAUAUCACUUAUCAACUAUGUUAUCCGAUAAGUCUUGUACUGAACCUUACGUAUUUGACUAAAAUUGGAUGUUGAUGUUCCUGAUAGGUUGAUGUUGCUGUCAUUGAAGUUGGACUUGGGGGGAAACUUGACUCAACAAACGUGGUAAGCAUCUUUUGAGAUUCUUUAUGUUCUGAGUUUACUGUCAUAUUUAUUUAAUGUCGGACAUCUGGUUACAUUAAAAUGGAAAAUGUGAACUACAGAUUCAAAAACCUGUUGUCUGCGGCAUUGCUUCUCUUGGAAUGGAUCAUAUGGAUAUAUUGGGUAUAUGCCACACUAUUUAUUCUCAAGUCAUUAGGCAAAUGUUUUUACAUUUAUACUCUAAUUUCUCAGUGCUGAUUCUACACAGGACAUACGUUAGCUGACAUUGCUUAUCAUAAGGCUGGGAUUUUCAAGGUACCUUCUGACUUUUUGUAAGCUAUUUCCAAAAAGGUUUCCUUUAUCUUAGAUUUUCCAUAAAUGCAAUAUAUUUGUUUUAAGAGUUCGAAUUGGUAGAUUCAUGUUAGAUAUUCUCUGAUUUGCUCUGUUUUCUUGUAACGCUAAUGAAAGCCUCAAAUCCCGGCCUUCACAGUACCACAACUCUCUGAAGCAAUGGAGGUUCUUGAAGAAACAGCUAAUAAUCUUAAGGUAACUUAUAGUUUAUAGAUUUUAUAUUUCAUUCUUUUUCCAAGUACUCCCACCAUAAGUUCUAUUAACUAAUGUACAAAAUUUUAGUUCUGAUAAGAGUUUAUUGAAUAAUCAAGCAGUCUCAGCAUGUGUAUUAGUGAAUAGGAUCAAUAUAAAUUAAAGAGGCUUGAAAUGUAGGAAGGGAUAUCAAGUGUUUUGGGACUGUUUAGGUUUGGGAGAGUUUGUUUCUCAGUUUUAGAAGUAAUGCAGUUUACGUUUACAAGCCUAUCAUGGCCUUUGUUUCAUCUGUGGUUUAGUUAUGCUGUUAUGAAAACCGAAUUACAAGGAAUAAAUACUAAAUACUAUUUAACCUGCGUCGCAGGUUCCUCUGGAAGUAAUAGCGCCUCUUGACCUUAAAAAGUUGGAUGGAAUUACACUUGGCUUGUCUGGGGAUCAUCAGCUUGUAAAUGCAGGUCUUGCUGUUUCUCUUUCAAGAUGCUGGCUUCAAAGAACUGGCAACUGGGACAAGAUAUUUCCAAAUGUUUGUUUUUUGCUCUUGGUGUCAUUAAACCUUAUCAAAACUUCUAAUGGCUUUAUUUGCUGAAUUCUUUGGCUUUUCUAUUAACAGGGAAGUAAUGAAACUGAUAUGCCGGUAGCGUUUUGCCGUGGUCUUGCAACUGCACGACUUCAUGGGAGAGCCCAAGUCGUUCAUGAUCUAGUAUCAGAUCAACAGGACUCGUUGAAAACUCCAUGCGGUGAUCUGAUAUUUUACUUGGAUGGAGCUCACAGUCCAGAGAGCAUGGAGGCUUGUGGCCGUUGGUUCUCUUCUGCAGUCAGAGGAAACAAAAGCUUAUCUACUACUCCUGUCAAUGGUUACAAGAGAAAUGGGGAGUUUGGUAAAGACUUUAUCAGAGUCUCCAAGCAGGUACAAUUGCUUGUUGACAAAGUUCUUUUGCUUUCUGCUCAAUUGCUAAUGAAAUUUUGUAUUUGAUACUUUGAUCUGACUUGUGAAGAGUUCUUCUGUGUUAAUAGGUUCUUCUGUUCAACUGCAUGGAAGUGAGAGAUCCUCAAGUUCUACUUCCAAAGCUUGUGACCACUUGUGCUUCCUCAGGUAAUCUAAAAACAAAUUACUCUGUUUUUAAUAGUUACUUGUUAAUAUUUAAUGCAUAUUGGUGAAUUAAAACAUUUUCAGGCACUCAUUUCUCAAGAGCACUGUUCGUUCCGAGCAUGUCAACUUACAACAAGGUCAUCUCAGGAGCAUCAGCCAUUCCUUUAGAUACACGUAGAAAGGAUUUGACUUGGCAAUUCAGACUACAGAAACUCUGGGAGAGAUCUAUCCAAGGAACAGGUAAAAGCUAACUUUCGCUGUCUUUGUAGUUAAAUUGAUUAUAGGCCUGAUCUUGAGCAUAUCGUCUGGUGUGACAAAUCAGAUGCUGCGCUUGACCAUACACUGAACCCUGAUGGAAUAACUUCCUUACCACCUCAUGAUUUCCUGUGUGGAGAUGCACCUCAUUGUGGUGGACCUGCAGGGACACAUUCAAGCGCUGUAAUGCCUUCACUUCCAUUGACCAUAAACUGGCUACGAGACUGCGUACGCCGAAACCCUUCGCUGAAACUAGAGGUAAAGUCAAAAGCUAUAUUCAUCAUCUACUUCAGACUCUUUAGAGUAGAAGAGAGCAUUAACUUGUAUGGUAUUGUCUUCUUCUUGUGUUUUUCUUUUCCAUGCAACAGGUUCUGGUCACAGGAUCGCUACAUCUUGUUGGAGAUGUACUCAGAUUGCUAAAGAGAUGAUAGUUCUUUACCAGAACUGAACAAGGGCUCCUUAAAGAGUAAUCUUACAGAGAUCCAAUUGUUUCUAUAUCACUUUUUCAUGAUUACCAAUUGACUUUUUAGGCAAUUUAUCUUAUUAACAUAAGAAGUCUCAUCUAAGUUUUGUAUUACUCUGUUACACAAUUUUAUAUUUCCUCUUAUGCAGUCUCUAACGUUGCAUAUCGACCAUGAGUUGAACUGUUGAUAAUAACUGGACAUAAUGAUGAACAUAUGAAAUAUUUAGUACUAAAACAGAAUGCUUCAUAUAACCUCAACAUGUUGUUGAUGGUAGGUAUGGGUGUUCGGGUUCAGAUCAAGUAUUUUGAAUUUUUGGGUAUUAGUACUUUUAAAUAUCCAAAUGGGUUCAGAUUUAUUUGGUUCUCGUCUGGUUAUUUUAAGUCAGAUUUGGAUAUUUUAAAUUUUGAAAAAAAAAAUCAAAUUAUUCAUUACUGAAGUUUCUUAUACUUAAAAUUUUACAAUCAACUUGACAUAGAUUUCUAUAACAAAAACGAUAGUGUGUUAUAUAACAAAAACGAUAGUGUGUUUCUUAACAGAGAAAACAUGAUCUUUCGUGAAUAAAGUAGGAAUUUUUUAGAUAUUGAAAUAUUUUGUGUUGAUAGUUCAAACGUAACAAAAUUAGUUUUUAUUUAUUUAUAUAGAGAUAUGAACUGUUCAUAAUAACUGGACAAAAUGAUGUUCAACAUAUGACGAAAUGUGGAAUUGUCUAGGUAGAUUUAUCAAUGUCAACUAAACCAUUGUGUUAUUUAGAGUUAAACUAAGUUUAAUUAGUUGUGCUGAAGACAAUGCGUUUACUUGGGUAGUAAAUGGUUGGAAACCAUUAUUCUUCUCCCACAACUAUGUGAACUUUCCUUUGCUUAUAAGAAGCCACUAGAGAUGCCUAUCAUAAGCCUAUAGGAUUUGAAAAGAAAAUCAUAGUUCGCUCCAAGUGACAAGUGACAACAUUAUAAAUAGCUGCUAGAUGUUGUUCAACACUCUGUAUUAUAUAGAUUUCUCUGUUCUGGUUAGAUUUUUGAACUCAUUCUUAGUCUCUUGAUUAUCAAAAAAUGUUUUAACAUUCUCUGCAGAGUGUCAUCUAAAAGAAAUGUGUUGCCUAGACUAUCUGAGAACUUCUCUAGAAUACUUACGUCUCAAAGUCCGCAUCCAUUAACUCCUCAGACAGUGAGUUCCACUGCCCUUUUGAGAGAAAAAAACACCAUCUACAAGAGAUCGGUAUUUGCAAGAGAUAAAUUCAUGUGAGAGCAUUAAUGUCAAUGCCUCUAUACGAUUGGAAAUGAAAUAAUUAAAUUUGAUAUGUCAGUUUUGCAAGAAUACUUAAUAGUUACAUACCAAAACAAAAUAUGAAAAACAUAUACCUAAUUGUUUUUUUUUACUAUUAUUGCGUAGAUAUCAUAAAUAUAAUCCACUUAUUAUUAAAAAAUAAGUAAAAAAUAAGAAAAAAAUAAGAAGAAAAAAAACAGUAAAUUUUUUUUUAUAAAUUUGAAUAUAAUUUUAAAGAAAUAAUUGAAUCAAACCAUAGAAAUAAUUGAAUCAAACAUUACAUACAUAUAUAUUUGAAUAUUUUGAUUUAAACCAAACAAAUAAUAUAUUCUCACAAAUGAAGGUUUCGGAAACUGGCAGUUUCAACGACCAUCAAGAACUCGGAAAAGCGUCAUACUUCAAUACAUCUUCUCAACAGAAGAAGGCAACUCCUAGUCUGGUCCCUUGAGAAGAUGGAUUGAAACCUAUCAGGACUUUACUGAAAAAGAAUGCGUCUGGAGCAGGGCUUGAUGAGAGCAACGGUGGUGGUGGUGAGAGGGACAAGACAAAAUUAGGUAAAUAAGCAGUAUUUUCUGAUUAGUUCGGUUCCUAACGUAAAUAUAAACUUCUUAGUACUGAAAAAUAGUUUAAGUUAAUAGUAUUGAAAAGGGACUGUAGAUCUCUGAACAAGCCACUUAUUAUAGUAGCAUCGUAAUGGUAAUUAUUAUGCAUUAGUAAAUGUUUUUUAAAAAGCUUAAGACUCCGCAUAUCAAAGCCAAUAAUAUUAUUGUCCAACAGUGUUGAUCUCAGCUGCGCAUAAAAUUGUAAUCAGUUUUACCAGCAAUCCCUGAUCCCUCAAGGCAAUAACAGAUUCCUUGUGAAGGAAAUGCUGAAUAUAUAAUACUAAUAUAAGCUAUUUGAUUGGAUUUAAUCACGUUCCAAAAUAAGAAGAUUCAAUCUCUAAUAUCAUAAGGGUUAGGACAUCAGCAGUCAAGGAAUCUCUAUGUAUAUAUCUAUGUAUGUGCAUAUAUAUAUGUAAGAUAUGGACAUGUAAUAGGCUAAUGAGUUUCAGGAAUACUAUCUAACAAAGGUCUCCAGCCUCUAAGACCCUCAUCAGCAGCAUCAUCAUCAUGGCACAGAUGUUGCUUAGCAAGACUUCUAUAGACCAUUUCGUGAACUGAACCUCCUUGAAUCAGCUUCUCAAGCUCUUGCUUACUCACAACCAUCUUCACUCUCACAACACUAGGACUCUUCUCCUUAGUGUUGUCACCACAAUCGGUUAAUCCAUCUCCUUUUUUCUCUACCUCUGGAUUUGCGAACCUGACUUUCUUCUUUGUCUUCUUAUGAUGCUUGACUGUGGUAUUCUGCUUUGGCAUGAGAUAGUAGAGACGGCCACAGAGAAGCUUAACUUGUGGAUGAAGAUGACAAUUGUUGGACAGAGAAUCAAAGAGAGAGUAGUGACCAGAGAAUUGGGUGAGGAUGUCAUCAACAUGCAUGGGACCUCUGUAUUCAACUACUUCUCCGUCAUUUCUCAUAAUCUUUAUCACUUUCUUCUCCACUACUAUACAAUUGCCCAUCUUUAUAAUUUCUUUUCCCUAACUUUGUGAUCUCUUCUGUGUAAAUAAUGUUUUUGGAGAUUUUUGUGGAGUUUUGGAGAUUUGUCUUUGUAUAUUUAUAGAGUUUAGGGAUACGUAAAUGCCCUUGUAUUUACGAAUAUUACGAAAAUUGCCAUUAACUUGGUAGGCCACUAGUAUCGUGGUGGGGUGUGGUCGGAUGCCGGGUGGUGCUCUCCUAGUUAUAUCUUUUAAAACUGGAUCUCAUAAUGGAUUUGUUUUAUUGUUAAACACUAGGUUAGUACCCGCGCUACGCUGCGGGAUUUUGUUUUACGUUGAUUAUUUUUUAAAAUAUGUUUAGUUUGGUAUAAAAUUUGAACAGUUAUAUUUAAAAUUGAAAAAACCAAAAUGUAAAUGAAAAGUAAAUAUGUAUUCUAUUAUUUUAUGUAUGGAUUCACUCUCAUAAGGUGUAUGCUUAAGAUGAAAAUUUAGUUCAUAUAUAGAUACAACUGAAUUUUCAUUGAUCAAGCUAAAACUCAGUAUUGUCUAUGAGCUUAUAAUUUUUCUUUUUCUAUAUGUUGAUUCAAAGUGUUCUGUUUUUUCAAUGAUCAAGCUACACUCAAUAGUGUCCAUGGUAUACUCAUAUUUUUCUUCUUAUCGUUCAGUUUGUCUCAUUCCUCCAAUCCAAACUAUUUUAGAAUCAUUAGGCUAAGGUUGUGAACAAACGUGUUUGAUAUAGAUUUAUUAAAUAUGUUAUCGUUGUAGUUAUAGAUAUUACAUAAACGGACGUAAUAUAUUAUUUUCUUCAUAUUUAUAAUAUUAAGUUAUAGAAAUAAAAGAAGGAUUCAUCAGUUUUUGUUAUACUUUAUGUUUACAGUUUUGUUUAUAAUGAUAUAUUUUUUUAAAGCAUCAUUCCCUGAAUUUAGUCAUGAUUUAUAAAAAAUAAUUAUUUUCCUACCAGAGAAGAAGAAUACUGAAUACUUUAAUUUAUUAAAUUGAUGUGUCUUUAGGCUUCAUUCAUUUUGGAUUCUUCAAUUCAAAGGAUCUAGUCUUCUUUCUAACUUAAUUCUUCGAACACGUAUAGGAAUGAGGUGUAUACAUUUAUUAGUGUAGAAUUGUCAUGUCUACAUUCAUUUGGUUUGAUACAACAGUCUAAGUAUAAAUAUAAUUGUUAAUGUUUGCUAUUUUUCACACAAUCACAAAUUAUUUGCAGUUACAAAAAAAAAUUAAUUAUGAACAAAAAAUAAGUCUGUGAUGAGUUUACCAGAUUUUACCCGACGAUGUGCUAACUAUCAUUCUUGGAAAAGUUGGUGAAUCAUCUUUUGAAGAUUUCGCUGGAUGCAUGCUCUCGUGUAAAACCUUCCAAAGACUUUCCAAAUAUCCUGAAGUUUUGCAGAAGCUGGAUCUGACCCAGGCCUUCCCUACUCCAUGGGAGAGCAUUCCAAAAAAUUCCAAAAUACUCUAUGAGUGUGCACAGUUUAGAAAUGUGCAUGCUAUAUUCUUAUGUGGUCUUAUAGAUUACUAUUUUGUUAAACCAAGAAUGACUGGAAUUAAUCAUCUUAAAUCAGCGGCAGAUACCGGACAUUGCGAAACUAUGUAUCUUUACGGUAUGGCUUUGAUUAAUGAAAAGCAGUUGGCAGAAGGCUCUAAAUACAUCAAGAUGCUUUGGAUAAAGAGAGGGUUUGAAGCUGUUUGGCACAACUAUCAAGUGAAGGUUUGACACAACUCUCAAUUGCGGCCUCAGCAACUCAUGUAGAAGCUAUGUACCUCUAUGGAAUGAUCUUACUCAUCAAAGGGGAUUUUACUGAAGGUUGCGACUAUUUAACUAAACUCUGGAAGAAUCAUGGCUUUGAAGUUGUAAGGAAGUGCCACAUGAACGUACACAAAGUUGUUUUGGAAAUGACUGAGAGAAUAUCGUGAAUAUAAUAUUCUACUGUCCUUAAUGGAAGUACCGGAAAACUGCAUAGAUGAAGGUUUGAACGAAGUGUGUGAUGACUGUUUCAUCCGGAAGGAAAUCUACCGUUUCAUGGAUUAUUUUAACUGAAGAAGUUUAAGGGGAGAAGAUUAAGUUAUUUAUGAUAUUUAUUUUACACAUUGUUUUUUAUGUUAUUCAUCAAUAAAUUGUCGAGGUUAAUAUAAACCACAUAUAUUUUCUAAUGUCAAAGUUUCAUUCUCAAGACAAUGCGUACUUGAGUUUCAAAAAAAAAAAAAACAGACAAUUCGUACUUUGAUAUUUUCUUAUAAGAUAACAAAGUUUCUUGGCUAAAUAUCAUUUUUUACUCGAUUAAAAAGACAAGCAGAACCCGUACAUAUCAGAUUCAAUCGAGCGUACCGGAUCCAAUCUUACCAUGAUACCAGAACUACCAAAAUAUUCUUAAACCGUAAAUAGAUUGGGACCAAACACAGAUUCUAUAACUGCUAGAACCCUAGAACUCUAACCCAACGCUGUUGACGAACUCGAGGCCGGCGAGCUACUCGAGUUUCAUUAGAUCUGGAGGGAGAGAGGCGCGGAGGGUGGAGAAGAACUCGAGGCCGACGACUCAGAGAGUUUCUGGAGAUCCGGAGAGAGAGUGCCGCGGACGGAGGAGAAGAACUCGAGGCCGAUGACUCGGAGAGUUACUGGAGAUUCGGAGGGAGAGAGCCGCGGAUCCCCUUAUGGUUGAGCCGGAUUCUCGUUACUUUCAGCUCGAUCAUGGCAUCGUCUUGAUAAACGUGGAGAGAAGAACUCGAGCCAGACGACUCAGAGAGAUACUGGAGAUCUGGAGGGAGAGAGCCGCAGACGGUGGAGAAGAACUUGAUCGGAGAGUUUCUGGAGAUCCGUAGUGAGAGUGCCGCGGAUCCCUUUCUGGUUGAGCUGGAUCCUCGUGACUUUCAGCUCGAUCAUGACGUCGUCUUGAGUCUGUGAAAACGAAUUGACGUUUGAAGACAUGGCGUCGUCUUAAGCAGAUUGGUUUGACGUGUUAGAUAUAGAAAUAAGCAGAUUGGUUCUUCAAUAUUUUUCAUUUGAUGACAUGUCAAUCUCUCAGGCAUUUUAAAAGCUGAGGUGUCAUGCUCUUGAAAGAACCUUGGUGUAUUAUUGUGUUGAUUUUGGGUGCAAGUCGCCAAGUCCAUUACACCAACCAUAUCUACACUUUGGUAAACAUUUAAACAUACUUGUUUCCACUGUUACAAACCAUUUACAAUGUAAUAUAGUUUGAAAUUUACAAAAAGACAAAGGGUUUUUAGGGGAGGCUUGUCUAUAUCUAGAAGUGGAGCCACUAGAACCAUCACCACAAAAGGAGCCGAAAUGACUUUUGAUAAGUGGAUGUUACCUUCCAAAUGCGCAGCACAACUUGAUUUCUAUAAUCAUUCCCUUAUUUGCUAACAUGCGCCGUAAGUUCUCAACUUACUCAUAUUAUCAUUAUUUUUGGCUACUAUCAUUAUGUUAUCACAAAACCUCACCUCUCACUGUACAUAUUGUCACUCGUUCCAUGUUAUCAUUAUUUUUGGUUACUAGUAACGCAUUAUCUUAUAAAUAUCCACUUGCUUGCAUUAACUUCCGUUUCCUGAUUUGUGUUAGUUUUGAAUUGUUGGUCAAAGCUGUUGAUUAAUCUUGAUGAAGCAGAAACAACAUGCCACUUCAUAUUCAUGCUUACGUACGCCUUCAAUUGUUUUGGUUUCUUAACACAACCAGAAUUGAGUUUGGUAACGUGGUAUCCUCUUACGUACAUACUUCCAAAAAGAAAACUAAACAGAAUACAAACUAGUCCUUUGUACGCUUGAGUUUGUUUAUAUAUUUAAAUUUUGCUUUCAACUAUUUUGGUUAUUCACCAAACUUGAUUUCGUGUGACGCCAGGUCUGCCUAAAAUAAAUUCGACGUCAUUUAUUGUUUUGGCAAAGAGAAAAUGGACCAUUGAUUCAUUUAUUUAGCCUACUCUAUAUAACAAGAAAACCGAACACUAGUUACGACUUGUAUUAUGCUACGUUUCCAAUGUAGGCUAUAUAGUAUAGCUUGACCAAACUAUAUUUAUCCAUCGCGAUCCCACGAUUACACAUUUGAACAUAUAAACCUUUCUUCCAUCUUGGUUUGGUUACGUAAGCUUAUGCAAAGUUGAUAUUUUUGGGUAGAGAGGACCGGUCCACUUCAUCUACUAACCUUGAAGCGCUUUCGAUGUUAAGUGGGUUCAAAUGGGUUCCACCAAUGAAGCAUGUUUCAAUUUUUUUUUAUUCCUUGGUAACGAAGAAUAAAUGUAGGAAACUAAGAGGAAGAUAGAGAGGUAAAGACAACAAAAAGGUUACACAAUGGGUGGGUAAAGAAUAUAAUAUUUUUGGAGGCUUUUCUUAGGGUGAAUGGUGGACGUUGACGCUCUAAGCAAAAGAUUAUAUAUAGUUAUUAAAUAAACCAUAGAUUUUGCCUUUGCUUACAUUGUAGGGCAUUGAGUGCACCUCCCAUCUUAGUGGUGGCGGCAGAAAUUUUGUUACCGUGAAAGAGAUGUAAACUGAAUAUCUCCAAUGCAUAGACAUAUUAAUUAAUAUCAUCCAUACUUACAUAUGAAUCCCCCAUGUUCGUAUAAUAACUUCAUCUAGUAAAAGAUAUAGGUAUUGUUAAUUAUAACUGUUUCAUUUUGACAAAAGUGUUAUUAUAACUGUAAUAUGGAGAUCUAGUCAUAUGUUAUUUUGUAAUUUUUUCAUCACAAAGAAAUUUCUUUAUAGUGUUUGGUUUUAUGCUUGACAUGUAUAAUUUUGGUUUGUUUUGUAAUUUACACAUAUCAAUUUGAAACUAAUAUAAUGUAAAUAUUGAUAAAUACAACUAAGAGAGUAGCUAAAUUUGUUUUUUUUUUCCUUUAAAAAAUAUACUUCCAUAUAAACGGAAGAGUAUAUAGAUAUUCCAUACGGAAACAACAUAGAUAGUAGAACUUCAAGGUAAGGGGAUCUUUGUCCAAAAAAAAGGGAUCUUGCAUUCAAACGAUAGAUCUUGUUUGGUCGUAAGUGGAGUCCGAUAUAGCACCAAAGGCCCACUAGAUUUCACAAAUUCUCCCUUCUUUUAAAUUACUGUAUGUGUUUUACAUUUGUCAAAAUUUCAUCUUUAAUUAUUUUUUUAUGUUUUGGUUACUUUUUCAUUUAGUAUAAUUUUAAAGUUAUAUGUUACCAACUUUUACUUUAAUAUUUUUUAUAACUUAGUGCGUUAUUUUUUCUAUAUAUGAGUAAUAUUAUUUACAUUUUUUUCAUUGGACAAAGCUUUGAUUAUUUUUAACUAAAUAAUAAUAUUAAUAUUAAAAUUAAUACAACUUAAACAAUAAAAAUAACAAAUGUAAGUUGGAAUUGUUAUUCUUCUUCUUGAAUUUUGCUUACUUUUUAGUUCUUAAGUAGAUAACUAGAUCUCGAUCCACGCAACCGCGCAGGUUUUUAUUUUUAUUUAUUUUUGUAUAAAUAUUUUUUUUUAAUUCUAAAUUGGUAUAUAUUAUGAUAUAUAUGUGUCUAUCAAUUUUUAAAACAUAAUAAAUUUACUGUAUAUUUUUUCAUUGAAUAGAUUGUUUCAAACUUUCACAUGUAUUUGUAUCUUUUUCUAUAUAUAUUUUCGGAUUAUUAUUUCAUUAUUAAAAUCGUAACUAUAUAUAUAAAGAUUUAGUAAAAUAUUGUUUUAUUGUCAUAUUCAAAAAUAUUGUAACAUUUCAAAAAUUUAGAAAGUUUUAAAAAAUUAAACUUUUCGCUUCAUAGAUUUAUAUUAGCGAGUAAAUAAUUAAACAUUUAGUUUUUGUUUAAUUUUUAAAAUAAACUAUAGAGUUUAAAAUUUGUUUUCAUUGGUUUAAGGUAGUAAAGAUUAAUCAUUGUUAGAUAAUAUGAUUUUUGUUAUUUAAAAAAAAAUCUUUAUAAUUUUAAAAGUUAACAUCGACAAAUGUUUAAAUAAUUAACAUACGGAAGUAUAGUAUUACAACAUUAAAUUAUAUAUAUUUAAUUUAUACUAUCUAUAAAUUCAAUGGAUCAUCUAUGGUUUAAAUCCAAUUAUUGAUAGCCCAAUAAAAGUUUCUAGUAUACCCAAAAUUUAAAUGAUAAGAUUAGAUAUUAAAUGUAGCAUGACUUUAUAGGAAUAUGUCAAUUAGAUACGUUUUUAAAAAUAUCACACAUUAAUCAAAAUUGUGAUUUCUGUUUUAAUAUAUAAGAUGAGUAGUGAAUACUCUUUUAAAGUAGAGUAAUGGUCUCUCUUGUUCGAAUUCCAUUUAGAUCUCUCUUUGUUUACAAUAAAUGCAUGACACUCAUCAAAAUAUCCAACUUUGAUGUGGCUGCAGUGCCUACUCUUUUGAUUUAGAGAAGAAUUGUCUUCUUGCUAAGAUCCUUGUGAUUUUUAUUUUGUUUUUGCUUUCUUUUGUAUAGUUGUUUACAUAUAUCGUAUGUUGCAUUGAAUUUUGUCUAGCAAUAUAAACGGAAAGUAACUUAUUAAAUUAAUAAUGCAUUUUAGUUCAGAAACAAACUAAAAAUGUAUUAAUGUAAGGUUUAUGUUUUCAAAUCUUUGGUUAUUUGAUUGAAUGUCUUAUUGUCGUUGUGUACCUAUAUGCUUAUAAAAAUGACAAUUCAUGUUAGUACAAUAUUUUGUUUUUAUUUUGAAGUUAUGAUUUUUAUAUAUCAAAUCCCUGCCUUCACAGUAGCACAACUCUGAAGUAAUGGAGGUUCUUAAGACAAAAAAAAAAGGAAGAAAAAACUAUCUAAUAGCUUGCGCGUCCCUUUGGACUUAAGAAAGUUGGAUGUGGCUUCUCUGGCGAUCAUCAGCUUGUGAAUGCAGGUCGUGCAGUUUCUCUUUCAAGAUGCUGGCUUCAGUUCUGAAGAACUGUGUAUUUCCAAAUGUUCGGUUUUGCUCAUAGCAUUAAACUUUUUUAUCAAAACUUCCAAGGGCUGAAUCUCGUUUGCUCCUUUGGGAAUUUUGUUAACAUAGAAGCAAUGAAACUCAAACUGAUAUGCCCGUGGUUAGGUUACUUGGACGAAUCACUAAUCACUAAUCAUCUUUGAUUAUGGGCCUGCCGCCUGCGUUUCCUUUCAUCAUUGGCUUAUAUAAAUAUUAAUUAAAAAACUUACCUCAUUGGAAGUAUUUCAUAACUAAAAAAAACAGAAAAUAUUAUAUUAUUAGAUUAAUAUUUUAACUAGUAAGAAACUCACCCAAAAAUAUCUCAAAUUUAUUAAUGGUAAGAUAUUUUGCUGAGAUAUUCCUAAUGCUCAUGCUCUAAGGUUUGCAUCAAAACAUGCCAAAUGUCACAAGUUGUAUGAUACUUAGUUGGGUCACCCCCACGGGCUGAGACAGGUAGUAACUGGGUGUGGCAUGUACUCCACACAAUUUUUGAUUUUUUCCUUUAUAAUUAUUGUAUAAUUUAUUUAGGUGCCCUCGAUCAAAAUAUUUGUUAUAGUGCAUGCCCCAUAUUAAAUAAAAGGCUGGAUCCGCCCCUGGUCACCCCGGUCCAAAAUGCAUAUUUGGCACAGGAGCAAACAUGUCGUCCUCCUUUCUCAAACCGUAUAAUUAAUGAAUUGGGCUUUUAAAUGUGAGAAUAAUGUAUCUCUUAUCUAAAAUGUUAAUGAGAUGUGAAAAGUAGAUGGUAUAUAGUUUAUGAUAAGGUGAGACGUGAUCGAUGCAUGUGAAAGUGAGAGUAGCUAGGAAGUAAGAAACCUAUGAAAGAGAAGAAGAAAACUUGAUUUAAAACAACAUUGGUUGAUCACUUGUUUUGAAUGAUACAGUAGAAAAUAAAAAGCUUUGUGGUGUGUUAACCAUCAACCAAUGCUUUAAGUAACAUACUUAGCAAGGUAACAAACAAGAAAUCGUUUGUUACAUACCUAGUUUUAAAACUUUCACUAUUACUGCAUAUUAGGAUGGUUAUAUGUUAUGUAAAUUCAACUAAAAGUGUUUCAUUGCUUGCAUCAGUGAAAUGCACCCGUGACGGUUUGGUUUAUGAACCUUUCGAAGAAGUCAACAAAAACAUGUAGAGUAAGAUAUUUUGAGUACACUAACGAGUAAUUUUGGUUACCUAUGGUCAGUGCCGUGCGAAGAGUUUAGGGACAUAAAGCAAGUUUUAAAAAUAAAUUUAUUUAUAACCGUAAUGAAAAUAAUUUUUUAAUAUGAUAUAUUAUUUUCACCAAAUACACAACUCUAAUACUGUAAAAGAAUUAGUUUAUAACGUAAAUAUGUUAUAUUAUAUCAUAUAGAAAAAAAUACAUGAAUUCAAAAAGUGAGUUAAUUAAUUUUCGUAGAAAUAUUUUUUCUUAAAUAAGUCUAAACUACUAGAAUAGAAAUUAUUUUAAAUUUUGAGACCCUAAAAACAGUCAUAUUAAUCGGGGACCUGAAGCGAAUGCAUUUUUCAAUACACUGUAGGCACACUUCUGCAUAUGGUUCCCAAUCACAGCAAAUAGUAUACGUAAGACAUUAUAGAUAUAUACAAAACAUAAUGAUGAUAGGAAACUGGGAACUAUUGUUUGUUCAUUAUUAUAUGUCUUAAUUAUUAACUUCAUUCACAAGCAAAUCCAGCAGUCCAUCGCAUGCCCUUCAAAUAUCAUUGUCUUUCAGUCACUUUUUCUGAGAUGUAUCUACUUGGUAAUAUUACGGUGGAUAUGUAAAGAGGUUACUAAAGACUUACCAACUUGACUAUCAUUUGAAUAUUUUUCUUCAAAUUCUAGUAUUUACCUUUGUUAAAAUUUGGCUGUGAAUCUCUAUAACUUUUUUUAAUAAGAACAAUAGUUUGCUCUGAAUAGAGAUUUGGCCCACUAAUCUAUCUUUUUCUAAGCUUUUACCACCGAAAAGCGAUGUUCAUGUGUCUAGGCAUGCCUUAAUAGUAAUACAAUUUUAAACACAUAACGAAAAGCAUAGGCAACAAUGCAUCAUUUGGAUAUUAUGUAAUUAUUCAUCAUGGAGUGCGCAAACAUCACGCCUAAUACGUGCCUAUGUUUCAGCCUAUGUCACCACAUCAAGACUAUUUGCUAAUUUGGUUAAGCCUUAACCAAAUCACAAUAAUUCGCGGGCGUAUCGGGAUCGAAGCCUUUUACUCCGGUUAAUUUUAUUCACAUAAAUUUUAUAUGGAAGAACGGUAAGUACGAUUGAAUUUAUCAAUCAAGCCAUACCAGCUUACCCACCUUCAUAACCGUCGUCUAUUUGAUAAAUACCAAAAAUAUUUUCAAUGUUUUGCAUACAGUGUACCCGAAUUUGAGCCGGUUUAACCACAUUUUCUCAUUUGCUUCCUUCAAAUAAUGCCUAUAUAAACCGGACACAAGACAAGUCUACUUCACGCCUCAAAACCAAAGUAAGAAGAUGGAAGCAAACACUAUGUUUCUUACAAAAGCUCUUCUUCUUGUAUGUUUCAAAGUCUGCUUCACAUUAGCUUCUGACCCCGACCCGAUCCAAGACUUCUGUAUACCAAAACCAAUCACAUCUCCUCAUCACCAUCCCUUCUCCACAAAUCUCCCAUGCAAAAACUCCUCCGAACUAACCACCGAAGAUUUCAUCUUUUCCGGCUUUAAAACCCCUGGAAACUUCUCCGAUACCGGGCUAGCCACGGUCCCCGUAAACCCGACAACCUUCCCGGGCCUUAACACACUGGGUUUGUCGUUUGUCCGGGCGGAUCUCAAACCCGGAGCUAUAAACCCGCCACAUUACCAUCCUAGGGCCACGGAGGUAGCCCACGUGGUUAAAGGACGGGUUUACUCCGGUUUUGUAGACUCGAACAAUAAAGUCUACGCUAAGGUUAUGGAAGAAGGAGAAAUGAUGGUGUACCCAAAAGGGCUAGUGCAUUUUCAGAUGAACGUGGGAGAUGUUACGGCCACGAUUCUAGGAGGACUUAAUAGCCAAAGCCCCGGGAUUCAGAAGAUACCGUCGGUUGUUUUUGGGUCAGGGAUCAAUGAGGAGUUGCUUGUGAAAGCUUUUGGGCUGAGUCUUGAGCAGAUUGGUACUUUGAAGAAAAGAUUUAAUCCUGUGAUGUCUAAUGAACAUUGAUGUUUUCUCUUAAACGAGAUUAUAUUAUAUGCAACUUAUAAGUUAAUAGAUCUUUAUGUGUCCUUGGGCAUAACGUUAUUUAUACUUUUUGACCCUCAAAAGUUUUAUCUAUAUAUGCCUUCAUGUUUUUCGGGAGAACAUCUUAAACCAUGCAUGUUUUAUAUGUGUAUAUAAUCUUCUUUCUGCAUGGAUUAUCUCUAUCUAUUAUCACGACCUACAUUUAACAUUUCAAAUCCUAAAUUACUACACUAAUUUAGUUAGCACUAAGAAGUCAUACCCCAAAUAAACUUUUCCAUGUCACUGUUCUAAAAUUUCAUAAUGUCCAAACUUAAUUAAGAAGACUCAUAUCCACAAAACACAUCAAGGUCAAUCCAUGCUAGUAGUUUAUUUACAAGUCCUUAAGGCUAUAUAUAUAAACUGCUCUUCCCCUCAAACGUAUCCAAUGUAUGGUUAUAGUACAUUGAUUGCGUGUAACUUUGAACAUAUGUAGUAGUAUCACGUUCUAACUUUGAAACCGUGUCACAAUGUAUCAAGAUCUAAAACAAACUAGAUCUCGACGGGUUUUUGUUUUUAUUUAUUUUUAUAUAAAUAUUUUGUUUUCAAUUUUAAAUUAGUAUAUAUUAUAAUAUAUAUGUGUCUAUCAAUUUUUAAAACAUAAUAAUUAAUAAGUUUACGGUAUAUUUUUUCAUUGAAUAGAUUGUUUCAAACUUUCACAUGUAUUUGUAUUUUCUUCUAUAUAUUUUUUUGGAUUAUUAUUUCAUUAUUAAAUCGUAACUGUAUAUAUAAAGAUUAGUAAAAUAUUUUUGUAUUGUCAUAUUCAAAGAUAUUGUAACAUUUCACAAAUUUAGAAACUUUUUUUAAAAAAUAAACUUUUCGGUUCAUAGAUUUAUAUUAUCGAGUAAAUAAUUAAACAUUUACUUUUUGUUUAAUUUUUAAAAUAAACUAUAUAGUUUAAAAUUUGUUUUUAUUGGUUUAAGGUAGCAAAGAUUAAUCAUUGUUAGAUAAUAUGAUUUUUGUUAUUUUAAAAUUUUUUUUUAUAAUUUUAAAAGUUAACAUCGACAAAUAUUUAAGAUAUGGAGGUAUAGUAUUACAACAUUAAAUUACAUCUAUUUAAUUUGUACUAUCUAUAAAUCCAAUGGAUCAUCUAUUGUUUAGAUCCAAUUAUUGAUAGUCCAAUAAAAAAUGUUGGUAGACUCAAAAUUUAAAUAAUAAGAUUAGAGAUUAAAUAUAACUUUUUAGGAAUUUGUAUAUUAAGUUUAUUUUUUUUUAAAUCACACAAGAUUGUGAGUCAUGUUUUAAUAUAUAAGUAGGCAAACAUAGAAAAUAAAAAUUUCAGAAGAAAACAUACAAAAGAAUCGGGUACGAGUCUGUACAUUAAAGUGGGCUACAGAUAAUUGACCAAAUUAAGCUCUAGAGGUAAAAGGGAACAGUUAAAGCCCAAAAUGGCAUGCGGUUAUUUAAAUGCGGUUUAGUAUUAUAAUUCUGUACCGGUAUUUCCGGUUUGAUAGAUCCUCGAUAUCACUUUCCUCCGCAUUCACUACCCUGACAUGGAUCAGCCCCGGCAAAUCUCUCCGGCGUCUCAACCACCGGAAACACCGUCCCAAGCUUCGAAACCAGCGGUUUUAUCACAGAUUCAGCAACCAGCUUCCACCAAUCCGAGUUCCUCCUCCGCUUCCCCAACUCCUUCUUCUCCAACCCCGCCGUCACCAUCGCUCAGUCCAAACCCUAAUCCCUCUCCGGUGACAUCUCCGGCGACGCAACAGCAGCGACAUAUCCCCUAGUCUUUGGCGCGACCUCUUCCACCGUCGUACUCGAGACCAUGGCAUCGUACACUCACUUCUCCUCAGCAUCGUCGACAUUGCUAUCUCCCUCAUCAGCUCCCGCCUCCUCUUCGUCGUCUCCGCCUCCUCUUCUUCGUCUCCGCCUCUUACUGGGAAUCAAAAGGUGGUAUGGAGAUUGGCGUUCCACCUUCCCCAAUUCCGAGCCCCUCUCAGCCUCCGCCUUCUGUUUUCCCGGGAUCUUUUGGGCAGCAAUACGGCGGGUAGGGUCGUGGAACAGUCGGGAUAUCAGAAGCUGCAUCCAAUACAAGUCUCCCGCAGGUGAAUUUUCAAAGAAUUGUGAUUGUUAUAGCUCAGAAGAUGCUACAACUUUGUUUUUAUUCUCGUGUGUUCGAAAUUUUUGCCUUAUGACUGGAGAAUGAAUAUCAUCACCUCAUUCAUUAGCUCGAAAACUUUGAAAUGCUAAGAUAUGAAGUCUCUAAGCGACUCACUAGUAGCAAAACAGUAGUGUUCUUAUCCUCGUGUGUUCUUAUGGCUGAAUAGAGUUUUAGGUAACCAUCACUUGGUGAUUCUGAUACAGAUAUACCCAGAGCUUAAUUAUUGUAGCACUGUUGAGUCACUUAACCUUGUUGAUCAAUUUGAAUUGGUUCAUGUUUUUUUUUCAUUGGUACUUUGUGUUCUUUUUAUACACUUCUUAAUGAACUUUGUUUGCAAACUCUUUAACUCCUUAUAUUAUUCUUACGGCUGAACUUUCGAGGGCAUAGCCUUAUGAGACCUUCAUCUAUUGGUUCUCCUGGUGUCCAAUCUAAUGGUGCAGCACAACAAAGCUUGCAUGCAACUAAUCAACCGUGGUUAUCAUGUUCAGCGCAAGGGAAGCAGCCUUUAGCACCCCCUUCGUAUAGACCGCUAGUAAAUAAAACCUCCAUGCAACCAAUAUCUCAUGUUCCUCAGCAACAUCUUUCCACGUCACCAGCGACUUCACAGCCUCAGCAACAACAUCAGUCUGAAGGGCAACUUCAACAGAAGCCUUUACCUCACCCACAUCAACCGGCCCGUGUCCAAGGGCCAGUAAGUCAGAAAGGUACUUCUCCGGCAAUGCUGACCCAACCUCCUGUGUCUCAACCAGGAAACCAAGCUAAAACAGUUUCAUCUGAGAAUGAGGUGUCUGAUAAUCGUAUCCUGGGAAAAAGAAACAUCCAUGAGCUACUUCAGCAGGUAUCUCACUGAUCUCUCUUUAUUUUCUCAAUCUUGGAUAAUCCAUUUUGCGUAUUAAGCGCAGAGCAGAUUAGUAUUCUCACUCUCACGGCUUGAUUCUCACUUAAUGAAUAGUUGAUUUCUACCACUUAGUUAUAUCUAUUACGGAGAAAGUAUUUCCUAUGAUAAAAACAAAUUAGAAUCUACAUUGUGAAUGAUCUGCCAAUUGCCUCGCAUAGAAAUAUCAAAAAAAAACAUGCCAUGGUGACUUUUAAUAGAUUCAUUAACAUAUAUCUUUAGUUACGUGGGCUCCUUUGUUAUUCUGCACUCAAGCUCCCUGCAUGAAAUCCAUUGAUUAUCUGAAUUUAGUAUGUCUUGUCUAUCCACAGAUUGAUCCAUCAGAGAAUUGGAUCCAGAGGUUGAAGCCACCCUUGCCGAUAUUGCGGAAGACUUUCUGGAGUCAGUAAGUAGCUCACACCACUUUGUUUUCCAACACGGUAUAUGUGAAUAUUGUGAUAAAGAGUAAUUUCCUUUUACUAGAUCACAACUUUUGGCUGUUCUUAAAGUGUCUGACUUUCUAUGCUUGGCUAAAGAACAGCCAAAAGUUUUUUUUUGCAAAAGUUUUUUUUUAGCAAAAAAAACUUUUGGCUGUUCUUUAGCCAAGCAUAGAAAGUCAGACACUUUAAGGACAUCUUGCUCCAUGUUGGUUAGUUCUGAUUGUUAUUGUGUUCCCCCGUUUCUUUUGAUUUCUGCCUCCAGUUACAAUGUUUAAUCUCGGUUUGGUAUAUCUUAUCCUUAAAUGUAGAAAGAAACUGGAAUAUCAGGCCUCCUGGUUUUAGCAGUGACGAGAUCAAGGCAUUUCGAAAGCCAGUAAGAAUCAUUUACAUAUUUGUUGUGUAAUCAACUUGCCCAAAGUAGCUUCCUAACGCCUUUGGUUCUUUUCUUUGAUAAUGAUUUGCAGCUGACAACAGAUAUUCACAAAGAGAGACUUGCCGCUGUAAGUUAUUACCGUUAAAAGCACACAUGAUGCAAUAGCAACCCGUAUUAUGCAACUGAGUAGGAAAACAAAACGUAGAUAUUGAAGUUGUGCUUGUUGACUUUGUAUGUAUGUUGUGGGCUUUGAAGAUAAAGAAGUCUGUGACGGUAAUGGAAGCAGGAAACGCCAGGAAUCCAUACGGGCACGGGAUGGCUAAUGCAAGAGGUGGUCAGGCAAAGACGCCUGCUAAUCCCUUGGGCUCUACAACUUUUAAUCACUGAUGUAUUGGAUGAAGUAUGAACCCUUCAAUCAUCUUUGGUAAGUAAUUUUACAUUUUGUAACUUCAUGUAGAUCUCAAUCCCAAGAUAACUACAAGCAUGGAGGUUCCAGCCUAGAUCCUAAUUUUGAACCAUAAGUAAAAUAUCUUAUCACCUUAUGGGAUUGAAUUUUUUUGAAAAGCGCAAAAGUAUAGGAACAGAGAGGAAUAAGAGAUGAGAAGUGGUCCGGCGGCUAGCUAGUAUUAUCCAUUAAACAGAUUCUUCUGAUACAAUCGAAUCUGCUGAUCAAAUUUUACAAUGCUUUUGCUUGAUUCCGUGUCUUGGUUUAUGGAUUCAAGACGUACAAAUGCUAAUUAAUACGUGAUGGUGAAUAGAGAGAAACAGAGAGUGUGCUUGAUGGAAAAGGAAUGGAGGGAAGAGUGAGGGUAAAUAAGUUUCAUUGUUAAGAUCACUGUUCUUUUGUUACUCUUACCAGAUUCUUCUGUCUUGAGUCAAAGAGCUUUCUCAUUCUUGUCCUUCUUCUUCUCAUGAGGUUUGAGCUCGCUCAACUGUGUGUGGCAGAUAGAGGAAUAGUGAAAUGGAUAAAAUUGGAAUUCUCAUCCACAAGUUAGAUGAUUAAGUGUCAGUGACUCAGACUCAGUGGUGUGUAAUUAAUUAAUUACUAAUUAGAGAGAAAAAAUCUAAUGCACGCCGGAUUAAAUAGCAAGAAAAAUAAAAUAAAAAGUGACUACUGGUGGAAAACAUUAUUUGAAUCUUUAAUUUUUUUUAAACUAAGUGAAAAAAUCAAGGUGGAACCACUAGAGUAAACCAUCCUUUUCCCCCACAACAUGUUGAUGUUCCACCACAUGCAUUUGUCGUUAUGCAAUGCAUGACAGAAAAUGCAUAACGCAUUAAAAUUUUUAAAAAGUUGUGCGUUUAUAUAAUGAAUGAAUAAGUAAUCAAUCAAUCAAUCUGAGUCACAGAUAGUUUUGUUGCCGCCGCCACCACCUACCACAAUCUCUCCCUAGAGCCGCCAUGGAUUCCGUCAGGCUUCCAACGGCUCCUUCCUCUCUCCGUAGCCAAAUGCUAGGUCAACCCCUUCACCGCAUUCCCCUACCUCCCUGUAACGGCCGCAGCAACCUCCGGUUUAAACCGGUUAUUGGAACCAAUCUAUCUCGAAAAAACCACGUCUCUCCGGUUGCCGUUAUCACCCGAGACGAAACAUCAGUGGCUCCUCUCGCUUCUCCUCAGCCACGUCUCAAGGUCUCUCCGAGCUCGCUCCAGUACCCCGCCGGUUACCUCGGCGCGGUUCCGGAGCGUGCGAGCGAUCCCGAGAACGGGAGCAUCGCGGAGGCGAUGGAGUAUUUGACGAAUAUACUGUCCACUAAGGUUUACGACGUGGCGAUUGAGUCGCCACUCCACUUGGCCAAGAAGCUAUCGGAGAGGUUAGGUGUUCGCUUGUUUCUCAAGAGAGAAGACUUGCAACCUGUAAGUCUUUCAUUUUCACUCUGAUUCUGAUUUCACAUUGAAAGAGUUCAUUUUUAAUGUUCAAGAAAUCGCUAGGUGGUGGUUACAAGUAGGAGUCAGUCCGGAGCUUAGACCAUGAUUAACCCGGACUUUUAGGCUGGAAUUCUUAGCUUUGGCUUUUUAACUAAGAAAAGCUAAGUAAUGUCUCUUAAAUAAGAGAUAUAAUAGCCGACUCUUAGCCGUAAAAAAAAAGAGUCAAAUCAUGAGUUAAGAUUCCCAAAUUAAAAACUCGGGUUAAUGCGGGUUUCUUAGGCUGGAGUUCUUAGCCUAAUAUAAAAAACGUCUCUUAGCUUUUAACUAAGAAAAGCUAAGAACUCCACCCUAAGAGAUCCGCAUUAAUCAUAUUCUUAGGCCGAUUUUUCAAAAGCAUAGACUAUAUUUUUAAAAAUUGUUUAAAAUAUAGUUUAAUUCUGAUUUGCUGACUAGACGGAUGUUUAGGCGCCGACUAGACGGAUUUUUAUAACACUUAAUUUUGCUGAGUCAUGUAUGAAUUUGAGGCUACGUUUAAGUGUGUAUCUGUGUGGUUGAUGAUGGUUCAGGUGUUCUCGUUUAAGCUUCGUGGAGCUUACAACAUGAUGGUGAAGCUUCCAGCUGAGCAGUUAGCGAAAGGAGUCAUCUGCUCCUCAGCUGGAAACCAUGCUCAAGGAGUUGCUUUGUCUGCCGCCAAACUCGGCUGCACCGCCGUGAUUGUUAUGCCUCGCACAACUCCAGAGAUCAAGGUGAUGUCUUUGAAUCCUUGUUGAAUCUGAAGUUAGUAUCUGAUUGGUCUAUGAAAAAACAAAAACAAAAACAGUGGCAAUCUGUGGAGAAUUUGGGUGCUACGGUUGUUCUUGUUGGGGAUUCGUAUGAUGAAGCACAAGCAUUUGCUAAGCAACGAGCUGAGGAAGAAGGUUUGACGUUUAUACCUCCGUUUGAUCACCCUGACGUUAUUGCCGGACAAGGGACUGUGGGGAUGGAGAUCACAAGGCAAGCUAAGGGUCCGUUACAUGCUAUAUUUGUCCCCAUCGGUGGUGGUGGUUUGAUAGCUGGUAUUGCUUCUUACGUGAAGAG